rnacentral:lncRNA from 1 species
AAAUUUUUUGCUUUAGCUUCACCCUGUUUUUAUGUUUGAGAGUAAAUAUUGUAUAGGGUGAGGUGUGAGUGUUGUAUAUAUGUUUUGGGAAUGUUGUAAAGAAUGGAAUUAAAUGUAUUAAGGUGAAUGAAUGAAUGUAAUAGAUAGAGUUUUCUCUCUUUACCUACUUGUAUGCCUUAUACUUGUAUCUUGCUCCUUGUUGUCGGCACUAGUAGUGCUCUUUGAGAUCGUGUAUUUAUGAAUUGAUUUCUGGGCGAAUUCCUUAUACAUGAUCUAUUGGUUAGCCUUGGACGGACAGGGGAGGUCCUGCCCGUUCAGCGUCUGUUCGACACGCCCGGGCCGAGCCAAAUUGGUAGCGGUCUCGGGGCGUGACAGAUAAAGUGGUAUCAGAGCCUUGGAGCAAGUAAAGAGAGAGUUUAGGAUGACCGAGGAGACCCUAGGUUGGUAAACCCUAAGGUUAUGGGGACGUGAGUGAACGUGAACCCAUGGCGGUGGCGGAAGUUGAUCGAUUGGGUCGAAGUUGAUGUCAUGUCUCUAGCUGGGAAUAGAGACGGAUCCGAGUGACACUAGUUCUUGGCUCGUAGUGGUUGUGUCGGCGGCCAAUGACAUGACGCUAAGAGUCCAGCACUAGAGCGCUUGCGAGCUUCCGCCCGAUUUCAUUGUCGAGUCGUCCAAUUUUGUGAACGCUAGGAGGUUAUCGGAUUAAGAUAACUAACGAGUUGUUGCUUUUCAGGAGCCAAUGUCCCCAAGACGUUAUGCACGUAGGUCUGUUCCGGUGCCGCCUCCCCCGGUGCCCGAACAGCCAAGAUCGGAGGAGGUGCAGGAGCUGCGGGAGCAGGUCGCGGCGAUGAUGGGCGCGAUGCAGCGCCAGGAGGCCCGGUUUGAGCAGCUCCAGGGAUUCGUGGAGCGGCAAGCGGCGGCGGCGGCCGCGACAGCGACUGGAAGCCGUGAUCCACCCGCACCCCCGGCGCGCACGCCUGAAGCGGCUGAGGGUGAGGGCAUAGCGGCGGUUCCGGUGGCGGCAGUUCCCACGCCGGCGAGUGCACCCCCGACCGCUUCGGGUUCGGCGACACUUGAUACGACAGCUGACGAAGUGGAGCGGGAGCGUGCGCUGACGGCUUUGAUGAAGUUCAUAAAGUUUAAGCCACCAACCUUUGAAGGGGGGAAAGUGGAGCCGUCGGUGGUGGAGUCUUGGGUAGACUCUAUGGAGACUCUCUUCGAGGACCUAUACACCCUGGAGAAGGAUAAGGUGCCUUUCGCCACCCAUUGCCUCGACAAGGCGGUGAAGGUGUGGUGGAAGCGAUUGAAGCGUGAUCAGCCCUCUGAUCUUCCACCAAUGCUCUGGGAGGAGUUUAAGAGGGAAAUGUUCGGAAAUUACUUUCCCGACACCGAGAAAUGUAAGUUGAAGGAGAGAUUUCGCAAGUUGAGGCAGGGGGAUCGUUCUGUGGCGGACUACGAGCAGGAGUUCUCCCACAUUAUAGACUGUGUCCCGGACGUCGUUAAGGAUGACACGGGUCGAGCCGAAUGGUUCUCGCGGGGACUUCGACCGUGGAUAUAUAGAGCGGUGCAGCUGUUCAAGCUCACGACUUUCGCCGAAGUUUUUGAUAGGGCGCUGUGGGCAGAGCAUGGAGAUGCCCACGUGCGGAAGGAGCGUGAGUUGUUGACGGGACCCCAAGAUAAAGGGAGAAAGCGACCGGGCGGUAGUUCGGGGGGCCAAUCGAGAUCCAAGAGACCCCCGAAGUAUCCGCGGUCGCAGUCGUGGGGCCGUGGGCCGCAGCGGUGCCCUAUCUGUGGAGAUCGAGGCCAUCGGGCACCGCAGUGUAGACAACAACAGGGAAGGUGCUUUAAUUGUGGACAAGAAGGACACAUCAGCCGCGACUGUCCGGCAAGGGCCUCGUCUACUCCGUCAGUCGCAUCGACUCCAGCGCCCCCGCCUUAUCAGGGAGGGGCCCCAUAUGUCCCCGUGUCAGCAGGGCGCGCACUGGCGCCGCGCCAACCGGAGGUGACUCGAUCAACGCCGAGCGGACGGGUGUUCGCCGCUCAUGCCCAAGCCGAGGAGCCUACCGAAGUAGAGGAGACUGAUGUUGUGGCAGGUAUGGUUCUAAUUAAUAGAGUUUGCUCCAGGGCUAUGUUCGAUACGGGUGCCACGCACUCAUUUAUUAGUAGAGCAUUUGCAUGCAUGCAUGACAUACCCAUAGAGGCGAGUGGCAAGUGGCGAGUCGAAGGUCCUUAGUCGUUAUUUAAUACAUAUACGGAGUGCUCGUCGUGCCCCGUACAAGUGGGUGACUGGAUAAUGCCCAUCCGGAUGUUAGAACUUACUAAACUAGAGGCGUACAACGUCAUUUUGGGCAUGGACUAGCUCUCGAAGUAUUACGCUACGAUCGAUUGUAAGAAUAAAUUGAUCACCUUUCGGGAGCCCGGACAGAGGGAGUUGGUUUACCAAGCCUGUCGGAGUUCUUGCUUCGUCGCGACAGUAUCGGCGACGAGAGCUAGGAAGUUGGUCAACGGCGGUUGCGCGGCAUUCUUAGCGACCGUCGUGGAGGUGGAUCGAGUGGUGCCGAGAUUAGAAAAUUUAUCGGUGGUGCGGGAAUUCCCAGAUGUGUUUCCCUCGGAGUUAUCGGGGAUGCCGCCGGAUCGGGAGAUCGAGUUUAUUAUAGACUUGAUUCCCGGGACGGCGCCGAUCUCGAAGGCCCCAUACCGAAUGGCGCCGGCGGAGCUGAGAGAACUGAGGGAUCAGUUGCAAGAUCUCCUCGACAAGGGGUUUAUCAGGCCGAGCGUAUCGCCGUGGGGAGCGCCGGUGUUGUUCGUGCGCAAGAAGGAUGGCUCGUUUCGACUUUGCGUGGAUUACCGAGAGUUGAAUAGGGUCACAAUAAAGAAUAAGUAUCCGUUGCCCCGAAUCGACGACCUGUUUGAUCAAUUACAGGGGUCGCGAGUGUACUCGAAGAUAGACCUGCAAUCCGGCUAUCAUCAGUUGAAAAUUAAGUCGGAGGAUGUUCAAAAGACUGCGUUUCGCACACGUUAUGGACACUAUGAGUACACGGUUAUGCCUUUCGGGCUCACUAAUGCCCCGGCAGCGUUCAUGGACCUGAUGAACCGUGUGUUCAAAGCGUGCUUGGACCGAUUUGUCGUGGUCUUCAUAGACGACAUCUUGGUCUAUUCGCGGAGCGACGAGGAGCACGCGGAGCAUUUGCGGACGGUGCUUCAAAUCCUUCGGGAGGAGAAGCUAUUCGCAAGCUGAAGAAGUGCGAUUUCUGGCUUCGAGAGGUUGUCUUCUUAGGGCAUGUGAUUUUCGAGGGCGGUGUUUCGGUUGACCCGAGAAAAAUCGAAGCGGUCGAAAAUUGGCCACGCCCGACGAAUGUCACGGAGGUCCGGAGCUUCAUAGGCUUAGCGGGCUACUAUCGACGGUUUGUGGAGGGCUUUUCGAAGAUUGUGACUCCGCUUACCGGUCUGACACAGAAGGGCAUCAAGUUUAUUUGGAACGACGAAUGUGAUCGAAGCUUCAACGAGUUGAAGAAAAGAUUAACGUCGGCUCCAAUACUCGCCUUACCGGUGCAGGGGCGAGGACUUUGCACUCUAUAGCGAUGCAUCCUAUCUGGGCUUGGGGUGUACCCUGAUGUAAGGCGGGAGGGUGAUAGCUUAUGCAUCCCGUCAGCUAAAAGACCACGAGAAGAAUUACCCCAUACAUGACUUAGAGUUGGCGGCGGUGAUCUUCGCGCUGAAAUUGUGGAGGCACUACCUGUAUGGUGUACACUGCGAGAUCUACACCGACCACAAGAGUCUGAAAUAUCUAUUCACCCAGAAGGAGCUGAAUAUGCGGCAGAGGCGGUGGCUAGAGCUAUUGAAGGACUACGAUGUCGACAUUCUCUACCACCCCGGCAAAGCAAAUGUGGUCGCGGAUGCGCUUAGUAGGAAGUCGGCGAAGAACCUCGCUUUUGAUGUCACCCAGCAGACACCCCUAUGGCUGGAUAUGGAGCGACUGGACCUUGAAGUGGUUGCUCCUGAGGUCCCGACCCAGUUGAUGGCGCUCGUUGUUCAACCGACCUUUUUGGAGAGAAUCAAGAGAUUACAACCUACAGAUCCGAGUCUCCAAACGGUGCGGCGCAACAUCGAGGAAGGUCGAGGCGGCGAUUUUAGUGUGGACGCCGGUGGCGCGCUCCGGUUUCGAAACCGGUGGUGCGUGCCUGAGAGUGAAGAUCUUCACGAGCUGAUUCUGCAAGAAGCUCACCGGUCUCCAUACGCUGAUCACCCGGGCGGCACCAAAAUGUAUCAAGAGUUGAGAACACUUUAUUGGUGGCCGGGGAUGAAAGUUGAUAUUGGGCGCUUCGUGGCGAAGUGUUUGACCUGUCAGCAGGUGAAAGCGGAGCGCCGGUUUCCAGCGGGAAAGCUUCAAAGUCUACCUAUCCCUGUCUGGAAAUGGGAUGAUAUAUCUAUGGAUUUCAUCAUUGGUUUACCCCGUUCGACAGGGGGCCACGACGCAAUCUGGGUGAUUGUGGAUCGCUUGACAAAGUCAGCGCACUUUUUGCCGGUCCACACCACCUGGGCGGGGGAUAAGUUGGCGCAGGUAUAUCUUGACGAAGUAGUAAGGCUGCACGGGGCACCGAAGUCAAUUGUAUCGGAUAGAGACCCCAAGUUCACUUCACGUUUCUGGAAAAGCCUGCAGGAGGCCCUUGGCACACGGCUUGAUUUUAGCACUGCAUUCCAUCACCAGACGGACGGGCAAACCGAGAGGACUAUUCAGACUCUGGAGGAUAUGUUGCGAGCGUGUGUCAUCGACUACAAGGGAGGCUGGUGUAAGUAUUUACCAAUGGCCGAGUUCGCCUACAACAACAGUUAUCAUUCUAGUGUGGAGAUGGCACCAUUCGAGGCUCUUUAUGGGCGGAAGUGCGGAUCUCCCAUUUAUUGGAGUGAUGUGGGCAAGCGCACAGAGUUCGGCCCCGAUGUGUUGCGGGAGGCGGAAGAGAAGGUCCGCCUUGCUCGCAAGAGGUUACUCACAGCGCAAUCGCGACAACAGAGCUAUGCGGAUAGGCGCCGGCGAGAUUUAGAGUUCGCGGUGGGUGACCGCGUUUUUUUGAAGGUCUCGCCUAUGAGGGGUGUAAGGCGAUUUGGCGUUCAGGGCAAGCUAAGUCCCCGAUACAUUGGCCCCUACGAGAUCUUGGAGCGGAUUGGGACGGUGGCUUAUCGACUCGCGUUGCCACCAAAGCUCGCGGAUGUGCACAAUGUAUUCCACGUCUCCAAUCUCCGCAAAUAUAUAUCCGAUCCCGAGCACGCAAUGUUGUAUGAACCGCCGGAGCUUCAGAAAGAUCUAAGUUACGAGGAGUUUCUGGUGGCAAUUACCGCUCGUGAAGUGCGCAAGUUAAGGAAUCAAGAAAUUCCUUAUGUUCGAGUCCGGUGGAGCAAUCACGACGAUCGCGAAGCCACCUGGGAGCUCGAGGAAGAGAUGAAAGCGAAUCACCCUCGCCUGUUUGAGGAGUGAAUCAAGGUAUGAGUUUAGAGAUUAAAGUUCUAAAUAAGUUCGAAAGUAUUGAGUUCGUUUCGAGGACGAAACUCUUUUAAGGUGGGGAGGAUGUAAGGAAGUGAAUUCUCGAAAUGCGAGGAUUAGACUUCGAUGAGAAUCGACUAGUUGUCGAUUGUGUAAGCUUCGGAAGGUCCGAAGGUGAUUAUAAUGCAUAAAGUGCGUUGAAGAAGGGUCCGCGAGAGCACCAGUGCAAAAUCUGCACUGGAGCAGAAAUGCUCUCGGGGACCGGUCCCUGGCAGGGAGGGACCGGUCCCAUCAGGCUGGGCUGCGGGGGUCUCUGAUGAGACCGGUCCCUGGCAGUGAGGGACUGGUUCCCGAACGUUGGCCCAGCGAAACUAGCCGAAAUUUGGCUAAGUCCCGAGAAUGCAGCUCUCGGGAACCGGUCUCUCGGUCAAGGACCGGUCUCCCGGGGACCGGUCUCUUAGGCAAGGACCGGUUCCCGAACGCGAAAUUCUUCUGCCCGAGAUGGAAAGUUCUCGGGGACCGGUCUCCCCGAGCUGGGACCAGUCCCUCACUGCGAAAAUGCCCAGAGAGGGCUGAUUUGAAGGAUGAAAAGUUGAGGGGGCUAUCUGUAAAAUAGCCUUUAUUAGAGGUUGGGGGACCUCCUUCUCCCUCUCAUUUGCUCCCUCUCCCUCUCACACUCUUUCCCUCUCUCCCUCUAGAAAGAAAAGAAGGAGAAGAAAGAAAGGAGGGAAAAGAAGAAAAAGUGGAAGGAGAAGUCCAAGAAGAAGAAGAAGAAGGUCUUCUUCCCUCUCUCCUUCAAGCUAGGGCAAGCUUGGAGCUUCGCUUAGAGGUAAGCUCCAAACCCAUCCAUGGUAGAUUUCCUAGGAUUGGGUUUUAUUGUUUAGGAUUGGUUCAAAUGGAACCUAGAGAAGAUAAGGAGAUGGUUCGGGCUCGUAACCGAAGCUCGCACCAUGGAUUUCUUCCCCGUUGCCAUUCUAGGGCACGGAUUUGGAGAUUUUGGAAAUCUAGGGUUUUGAUCUAAUCUAAUAGGUCGCAAACCUAAUUGUUAGGUCCCGGAACGCGUCGGCGAAGUCGGUUUCUCGAUCCGACGAGCGGGUGCGGAGAAAUCGCCGAAUCGGGUACUUGAGGGCUUGCUUCGCCCCGAGGAGUUAGGGCGACAUGCAAGAACCGCAACGUCGAGUUUUCUAUCAUCACGACAUCACCAAGAGGUGGGUGGUGACCAUCCCGAAGCAGUCGGGCCCCCUUCUAUGUCUUAGUACAUUUUGGAUUCUUGCAUCUUGUAUUAUUGCAUUAUAGGAUGAUUGUGCAUUGCCUUUUCUUAUGUUUUCCUUGAUGAUAUCGUAGCACGUACUGGAUACUUGAUGUAGUGGAUUGAUAAGGAUUGGGUCGAGACUCGUGAAUCCUAUAGUGCAGAGAAAGAGAUGGAUUCAAUGGUUGGUUUGAUAUUAAACAAAAGAACGAGUGGCAACUAGUUGAUAGUAAACAAUGAACGAGUGGCAUUCAGUUGAUAGUAAACAAAAGAACAAUGACACAUAUGAGUCGUAGUGUAUGUGAAACCUAUGGACUAUAUGAUGAUUGUAACCCUAGAGGAUAGGGUAUUCUCGAGACGAGGAUUGGAUCAUGCUCACGAUCUGUUUUUAAAUCUUGUGAUGGAAGCCCCACAUGAGUAGUGCGCUCCGGAGUUGGUCACGUGGGAUUGCCUAUUUUGGGUCCCAAGGGAUUGCCUAUUUUGGGUCCCGGCAGACGGUCUCGGUUCGUAGUGUGAGUUGACCCUCCCUACCUUCGAGAUGGCUAGUGAGCAGUAGACGAGCUUUCAGAGAAGCCACGAGAUUAAGAAACAAGUAAAUGAGAUUGAUGAACAAGUACAUAGCUUUACCUUUUUGACAUGACGACAGGAUAGCUGCUUACCAUUUUAUUGGACAUGCAUUCAUAUAUCUAUGAUUGGGCAUAGUAGUGUAGCUUUACUCUCCGGUCCUUACAGCUUUUCUUAUUAUCAAUAUAUGUUGGUAUGUCUACUUUUGCCCACUUAGACCUAGUGUGGAGAUCGGCGGAGUCGGCGGCCGAACCCACUGGGAACUAUGGAAGAUAGUUCUCACCCCACUUUUACAGGUUCGAGUUCGGGCGUCCCUGGCGAGCGUGAGGAUCGCGGUAAGGGCCUGGCGCCCUAGUUGCAUUAGCUGUCUACCUUUUUGCUUUAGCUUCACCCUGUUUUUAUGUUUGAGAGUAGAUAUUGUAUAGGGUGAGGUGUGAGUGUUGUACAUAUGUUUUGGGAAUGUUGUAAAGAAUGGAAUUAAAUGUAUUAAGGUGAAUGAAUAAAUGUAAUAGCUAGAGUUUUCUCUCUUUACCUACUUGUAUGCCUUAUACUUGUAUCUUGCUCCUUGUUGUUGGCACUAGUAGUGCUCUUUGAGAUCGUGUAUUUAUGAAUUGAUUUCUGGGCGAAUUCCUUAUACAUGAUCUAUUGGUUAGCCUUGGACGGACAUGGGAGGUCCUGCCCGUUCGGCGUAUGUUCGACGCGCCCGGGCUGAGCCAAAUUGGUAGCGGUCUCGGGGCGUGAUGGAUAAAGUGGUAUCAGAGCCUUGGAGCAAGUAAAGAGAGAGUCUAGGAUGACCGAGGAGACCCUAGGUUGGUAAACCCUAAGGUUAUAGGGACGUGAGUGAACGUGAACCCAUGGCGGUGGCGGAAGUUGAUCGAUUGGGUCGAAGUUGAUGUCAUGUCUCUAGCUGGGAAUAGAGACGGAUCCGAGUGACACUAGUUCUUGGCUCGUAGUGGUUGUGUUAGCGGCCAACGACACGACGCUAAGAGUCUAGCACUAGAGCGCUUGCGAGCUUCCGCUCGAUUUCAUUGUCGAGUCGUCCAAUUUUGUGAACGCUAGGAGGUUAUCGGAUUAAGAUAACUAACCGAGUUGUUGCUUUUCAAGAGCAAAUGUCCCCAAGACGUUAUGCACGUAGGUCUGUUCCGGUGCCGCCUCCCGCGGUGCCCGAACAGCCAAGAUAGGAGGAGGUGCAGGAGCUGCGGGAGCAGGUCGCGGCGAUGAUGGGCGCGAUGCAGCGCCAGGAGGCCCUGUUUGAGCAGCUCCAGGGAUUCGUGGAGCGGCAAGCGGCGACGGCGGCCGCGACAGCGACUGGAAGCCGUGAUCCACCCGCACCCCCGGCGCGCACGCCUGAAGCGGCUGAGGGUGAGGGCAUAGCGGCGGUUCCGGUGGCGGCAGUUCCCCCGCCGGCGAGUGCACCCCCGACCGCUUCGGGUUCGGCAACACUUGAUACGACGACUGACGAAGUGGAGCGGGAGCGUGCGCUGACGGCUUUGAUGAAGUUCAUGAAGUUUAAGCCACCAACCUUUGAAGGGGGGAAAGUAGAGCCGUCGGUGGUGGAGUCUUGGGUAGACUCUAUGGAGACUCUCUUCGAGGACCUAUACACCCUGGAGAAGGAUAAGGUGCCUUUCGCCACCCAUUGCCUCGACAAGGCGGUGAAGGUGUGGUCGAAGCGAUUGAAGCGUGAUCGGCCCUCUGAUCUUCCACCAAUGCUCUGGGAGGAGUUUAAGAGGGAAAUGUUCGGAAAUUACUUCCCCGACACCGAGAGACGUAAGCUGAAGGAGAGAUUUCGCAAGUUGAGGCGGGGGGAUCGUUCCGUGGCGGGCUACGAGCAGGAGUUCUCCCACAUUAUAGACUGUGUCCAGGACGUCGUUAAGGAUGACACGGAUCGAGCCGAAUGGUUCUCGCGGGGACUUCGGCCGUGGAUAUAUAGAGCGGUGCAGCUGUUCAAGCUCACGACUUUCGCCGAAGUUUUUGAUAGGGCGCUGUGGGCAAAGCAUGGAGAUGCCCACGUGCGGAAGGAGCGUGAGUUGUUGACGGGACCCCAAGAUAAAGGGAGAAAGCGACCGGGCGGUAGUUCGGGGGGCCAAUCGAGCUCCAAGAGACCCACGGGCGGUAGUUCUACGCGCCCGGGCCGAGCCAAAUUGGUAGCGGUCUCGGGGCGUGACAGACGACCUAUCCGGAUACGUACACCCCUUGUUGGUGGCCAAACCAACCUGGUGUCUAGAAUACACAGUGCUGUGACUAAAUCAUGCUGAAAUGCUCAAACGAAACCCGGCUAAAGCCGGUGCCUAGGCCGAAGCCAAAAACAAGGGCGUACAACGCCAAACCACGAUCAACCAGAUCGAAACACAUGACAAGAGAGUCGAUGUGUUGCCUGGACCCAAGGUCCACAGAGUCCAACUGACCAACAAGGUCCCUGAUACAAAGUGCGAGAACCGACCAACCAGGUCAACAGAUACGGAAUGCAACAACCAACCAACUAGAUCAACAGAUACGGAAUGCAACAACCGACCAACUAGGUCAACAAAUACUGAAUGCAACAACAGACCAACUAGGUCAACAGAUACGCAUGUAGAUAGAACUACUCUACUCCUACUCAGGAUACUAAGCAUGCAAACAACGAGUAGAGUAUAACGAAUAAACAAGGGUGCAAGGCUCAAUAUAAUAUGCGAUAAUAACAACAGAAGAGUGAGGGUAAGAAACCAUCACCAAGCGUGCACCACUGUACCGACGUCGAAUCGAAGUAUCCACCUGUCACAAUCGCGUCGGAGAAUCUGGAUGCACACAAGUCGACCGGACCUAUGAAGAUCCACUAGGUCAGUAUCCAACCCCCUAACCUGAAGUACACUAUCUCACAAACCCCCACACAGAUCCCCGAACCGGUUUCCGAAAAUCGAUCACCAUAACUCACCGGAAGUCCCGAAAACCACACCGGGAAGCCGUCGGGACCUACUAAGUGUCCCGAAACUCACCGAGCGUACCACGAGUCACCCGCUGCCACAAAACACUCCUGUUUGGAUGUCUUGACAGCAAACACAAGAUGACACCGCUACACAAUUAUCGCCGGAUAAUUGUAUGAAUCCGGGUUUCCGAAAGUGUCUAUUUCGACAUCGAAACAUACCAUCGCUCACCCGUCAUCACCGAACCCACAAUGUGAUGAUGGUGACCCGCCAACAGGGCUUAGCGACUACUCACAGAGCAACCAAACGACGUCGGAAGAAAUCCGAACCGAAACCGCGUUCUUUCGACGAAUUUCGCCGAAAAACGCACCGAAAUUGACUUUUCGAUUUCCGCAAAGACUAUCGGAUCAUGGACAACCAGUCCAGAGGUCACCACGCACACACAUGCACCGCCCACAGUAGCCGCAUAAUGCACAAUUGCAUAAAAUUCCCUCUAUUUACAUAAAAUCCAUUAUUUUAUGUAAAUUGGGAGACUUCUAUGACUCAUUCUCGUAAACCAAGGACUUAUAUGUUCCACCGAGAUACUGACAGGUCUCGACGUGCCGGAGGCCGUGCUCAUGGUCUGGAGCGCAACGGCUCACUGUGGAAGGUGUGGAAGCAACCCGAAGUUCUGCAAAUAGCGCGCAGUCGGGGAGAAAUCACGUAGAACAGGACUAACUGGACUCUUUUGAUCCAAAGUGAAACCAAUAUGAUCGGCACUGACCAACGAUCACCGUGCUCACCUCCAGAAGCAUCAGGACAGCCUCGGAUCUCCGGAUAAGCGUGCGCAAACCCAAAACAGCAGCCAAAAAGGCUCGACAGGGUCGACACCGCCGAAACAGCGGAACGAAGUCUCCCCGGCAGAAUCUAAGGUGAGCGCGAUGAUCAGCAAUUUGUUACGAUCAUCGUGCUCCCUUCCGCAGAGAUCGGGGAGGCUCGAGAAGCUCGGAACAGUAAACCAUCCAAAAUAAGCCCUGUUUCGGGCUUGGCCGGAGCAAGCUUGCUCAGGCUGGCUUCCGGCCGCACGGCGAGGCGCGCGCGGGCCAGGGAUGGGUGCGGGGGAGGUGAGGAGUGCCGUGCUCACCUCGGUUGGCGGCGGGGAGCGGCAGCGGCGGCGGGGAGCGGCAGCGGCGACGGGGAGCGGCAGCAGCGACGGAGGAGCAAACCAAGCCCGCGCCAGCUAGGGCUCGGGUUCCACGGGCAAUGGUUGCCACGGCGGCAGCCGUGGAGCUCCGGGACGGCGGAGGGGGGUUUCCGGAGGCCGGAGGGAUGCCUCGGGUGCUACCCCGAGCGGCGGCGGCGCAGGGGAGAGAGGGCGGGGUCAUCUCGGCAAGAGCAGACCUGGGGCGGCCGCGGUUGACAGAGGAGGCGGCGGCGACCCGCAGGGACGACGGCGACGAUGCACGGGGGUCACCGGGGCUCCGGGGAUGGCGGCGAUGCCGAGCUAUGGCGGCGGUGGUGCGAGGAGAGGGAGAUGGGGCUGCCUCGGCCUGGGUUCUGCCCAGACUGGCAGCAAGGUGCUGGGGCGGCCGCGGCGGCGCGUGGAGGCGGCGCCGAUCGGCGGGAAGGCUCGCUGGGGCACGGGGUGAUGCCGGCGAAGGGUCUAGAGGUGGUGCCCGACAUAGAUGAUCCUCCUGGGAUGCCCUCGGACAGAAGUGGAGGAGGUUGGAGGAGAUGGCCACCCAAGCUUUUUCGGCAGCCGGGUGAGCUUGCUGGCGGCCGGGGUGCGCGCACAGCUAGGGCAUGGUGAUGCUGGUGGUGGCUAGGGUUAGUUGGGGGAGCUAGGUCGGCUGGAUCUAGGGCUUCAUGCAAAGAAACCCUACUUGCAACUUAUAUACAAGUGGCAUUUUGCAUAAAAGUCCUCCAAAGCUGAAUAUUUUCAUCCGAAUCCUUGCCCACGCGUGUAUUUUGCACGAAUGUACCCUCAUGUGCGAUUUCGUGCGAUUCGGCACAUAAAAUAUAAGGACUUUUGCGAGGUUUCCGAUUUGCUACAAUCGACCCCUUUCCGAACAUCAUGCGAUAUCCGACGAUCCGUUCAUCGGAUUUCCGAAUGGAUUAUGCCAGCGUGCUCAGCACGACGGAGACAACAAAACUACGAUUUCGUUUAAUCUCGAUCGGUCUCGGAUUCGCGACGAAAUCCAUUCCAACUCUCCAAUGGAAGAAACUACGCACAAAUACAUAUAAAAUAUGUAUUUCUGGAUUUUCUCGAAAUUCGUGAGUCAAACUCAAAAUCUGACAGCGCCAAUAGUUCUAGAAUAGCUGAAUCGAUCAAAACGAGCUAUUGGAUCGCCAUGAACGGAGUCCGAUACGUGCCAGAAGCCAACUCUAUGCGUUGGGCUCCCCAAAAAACCAAGUUACUAUUCACUUUAAGUGAAACUUAAAAAUCGCGUAGAAUCUCCAUUUUAACUCGUUUUCUCCCGAAACUUGACGAGUGAUUUUGUAAUUAAAUUACACGCAAAAACAUCGUCAACUGAGAGUUUAGUUACACUAUCAAAAUCUCAGUCCUUACAAUGGGGUUGUCAUUGGGUUUAUAAGAGACUUAAACACUAGUAAUAAUAACUGGGCUUAAGCAUUUUGGGCCGGUUGUUGGGCCCAACAAGUUAUUGUUGCUAGUGGGUUGGGUUGUUACAUUUUGUAUCAGAGCCGGUUCACCAGCUGGACAUGUGUGGCGAGUCUCGGCUGAGCCGGGGUCUGGAUGACCGGCUAGCGAGACGAGUCUCACGUCGCCCGGUGAUCUUGGGCUGUGUGUAUGAUUGGACUGACGAGGACGUCAGGGCCUUAACGGGGGGAGUCUGUGACACCCCAAUAGUCCCACAUCGGAUAGGAAUGGGAUUGUCAUUGGGUUUAUAAGAGACUUAAAUACUAGUAAUAAUAACUGGGCUUAAGCAUUCUGGGCCGGUUGUUGGGCCCAACGAGUUAUUGUUGCUAGUGGGCUCGGUCGUUACAACAUCAUAAUAAAAAUAUAAUAAUAUUUUCAUAGAUGAAUCUUUUAAUAGUAGAUUACAAUGGUUUGGAUUUAAAUUUUAAAAUUUUUAAAAACCAAUUAGAAUUGAACUUUAUAUUAGUUCUUCUGAGCACUUUUUUUUCUUCACAUGCAUAUCUAUACAUAUAAUAAAAGUCGAACCCUAAACCCGCCACGCAUCGUCUCCCCAGCGACCCCCCCUCCUCAGCUCUGCCCGCUUCCUUCGCUGGCGACGAGCGGCGUCACGUGCCUCCCGCCCCGCGUCUCUCAGAGCCCUCCUCUCUCCGAGCCGGGCCCCAUCCCCCCUCCCUGUCGGAUGCUUGUCGGACCCUAUCCUGACCUUCUCCUGCGGCCGACGUACGCCCGUUACAUCUCUGCGUCAGGUUUGGCCGGUGUGCGGCUGUGGUUGCGGUAUCUCUUCUCUCUGCUCCCCAUGUGCAUCCUGAUUCUCCUGUCUCUGCAACUCUUUCCUCUAAUCCCUUCUUCCGUCUCCGGCGCCGCCGGAAGUGGGUGGGGGAUCUGGUACUUCCUUCCCUGUACCACCGUCCUUCCUCGUCCUUCCUCUCUCAGGCCGGGCCUCUGCCAGGAUUCGCUUAUAAAUAGGGCUGGCACCAUGCGGACGAGGGGCGGCUUGUUUGCUUCCCUAUAUUUGAACGGUUCGUUGUUGGUGUUUACUAGUAGCUUCUCCACUAAUAGCCCUUGAAUUGUCUCCGUGGUUUUGGCCCUGUCCUGCCAUCCUCCUUUCCGGACUGCGGCUCCUGCGGAGCCCUAUCCUCCCGCUGUUUGCUUUGGCCUGUGUCCCGUGUGUCUUGUACUGCUGCCUCAUAAGAUUUGGUGAGUGGGCAACAACCCAUUUGGUUUGGCCUCCUGACUCCCGCCGACCUCCUUUUGCCCUAUUCUGAUGAUGUCUCUGGAACUGCAAUUUACCCCUGUUAAGAAAGCUUUUAAAAAACAUUCUUUCGCCUUUUAUUGCUUUGGACUGUCGGCUCGGUUUUGUGCGUGGUCUUCUUUGGGUCAAGCACAAAACCCUUUUCACAAAACAAAUUUAAGCUAAAAUAUCCUGUUCGGUGAUUGAAAGAACUUAAGAAAAAAAAAAUACUGGAUGUUUCUGAUUAAUUGGUUACAACCAUCUGUUUACUGAGGAUUUUUUCUUGGAAUUCUGAUGAUGGCUCCGGAACUGCAAUUUGCCCCUGUUAAUAAAGUUUAAAAAAAACAUUCUUUUUCGCCUUUUAAUGUUUUGGACUGUUGGCUCGGUAAAUGUCCCAAUAAAGAUUUAACAGAGAGCUUUUUUCGCCUUUUAAUGUCUUGGACUGUUGGCUCGGUAAAUGUCCCAAUAAAGAUUUAACAGAGAGGGCAUGAAUACUGAUGAUGCCUCCGGAACUGCAAUUUACCCCUAUUAAGAAAGCUUUAAAAAAGCAAUUUUUUUCCCGCCUUUAAAUGUUUUGGGCUGUUGGCUCGGUGAAUGCCUCAACAAAGCUUUUACAAAGAGGACAUUUACCUUAUCUGCCUUCUAAUCUGCUUUUGUUAACAAAGUUUGGGAAGAUUUUUAAAGAUCCCUGCUUACAUGCUUACUUCGGCUCUUGCAAUCUCUCUGCUAUUAUUUUUUCGGUGAUUUAAAAAAAUGCCCUCGCAGUCAUUUUUUGGCUUAACAUUCCUUGCAGUUGGAAAAAAAUAUAUAUUCUAUGUCACUGAGCAUGCAUAAUAAUUUUUCCUUUGCAUUGACUCUGUUCUUUGUCUUGCCGACAGUUGUUGAGAUGUCGGUAGUUCAGCUUUCGUACACUAUGUUACUUGGUGAGAUAUCCAGUAAGCUGGGUGUUGAAACGCCCGACUGUAUUGUAACUAUUGCUGCGGAGGGUUGGUUUCUAGCAUAUGUCGAUCUUACGAUUGUGCGCGGUGGCUCUGUAAUUGAGGUGGCCCGCAAUUGGGGCUCUCUAUCUACCGAUUAUAUGACAGCUCGGGAGGAUGCAGCCCGAGUUGCCAUCCAGCGGAUGAAGGAGGAACUUGGCUUGCAGAUAAAGGAUGCAAACUAUGAUGAUUUCAUCUUAUAUAAGAAUUUGUACGAUGCUGUUGCUCUCCAGAAUAGUGAUUUUGUUGGGCAGCUCACAGGCCUUAGGUCUGAGCACAACCUCCUUAAAGAUUCCUAUGCAGCUGUGGUGUCUGAAAAAGCUGAUGCUAUAAAUGAGCAGAUUAGAUUACGCCGUGAACUCGAUGAUUGUUAUGCUACAAUCAACCGCCUUCGUCCUUCCGAAUCUUCUAUGGCGUGCGACCCGGCUGAUGUGGGGUCAGCUACUUCGUUCUAUGCUUUGCCCUGUUUAGUGUUAGGCUCCUUUUGUAUUAUAGAGCCGCUGGGAUCAACUACUUAGUUCUACGUUCUGCCCUGUUUAGGUUUGGGAAGGCCAAAUAGCUCCUUUUGUAUGAUAGAGCUGCCUCUCAUCCCGUCACAUGUUUUAUACUCUUGUUGUUUUCUCCAGAGAAAGCCAUCAGCUGUUUUCUUUGGGUUUCUAUGCAAGUAGGUGAUGUAAAAUGUUGCUCCCUUAAUUUAAUCCGUUUUCCCGCUAAAAUGUUUGUCCCUUAAUUUAAUCCGUUUUCCCUUGCUGGAACUCAGCUAAGAUAGUUAAAUAUUGUUCUUUCUUCAAAGUGGUGGCAUAAAAGAACUGGAUUCUUUGUGUCUUUAAAAAAAUAAUUGAGCAAUGAUGAUACAUAAUAUUAAAAAGCCUAGCCUUUAUGGCCUUCGCCAGCGCCAUCUCCAAAUGUUGGGAAAAAAAACGUGGGUGUUUUGUCUCCUCAAAUGAUUUCGGAAUAUGGGAGAGGCCUGAACUUGAUAGCCUUGGGGUCAGCUUGCAGUAUUUCCUUGCUAAAUAAAGUAUGCUUAAUUUUCACUGCCCCCUAAACUUGAUGCUGUUCCUAAAUAAAGUAUGCUGAUUUUUAACUGCUCCUAAGCUUGAUGGCGUUGAGGACCACUUGCAUUCCCAUGAUGCAGCACAACUUAUCUGGCAAUAUUAAUACCUGGUGAAAUUAAGGCUUUCUAAAGAGGCUGUGAACUUAUAUAAAGCCCUGGUAUAAAGGUGGGCAAAAAGUCUUGACUAUAUUAUGAAGAGGAUGAAGAUGUCCUUACUAUCUGAGCUCAUUUUUAUGUUAAAAAACAAAAAUUCAUUCUUCUCAAACUUAUGUGGGGUCAGUCAUUGUCCAUUUCUUUUGUCGCCACUCUUAAGAGAUUUGUGUCGGGUUUGAGUAGAGAGAUGCAUUUGCCUAUGUUUUUUUGUCUUCAAUUUCCAAACAUGUAUAGCAUUUCUUCUAAUUUGAUGUGGUUACUUCUUGGUUUUUAUCAAAGAAUUUCCAAGCAUUUAUAUCGUUACUUCUAAUUCCCAAAGAUGUGUAUCAUUUAUGUGUGCGUGUGUGCAUCAAUUUUGAAAUAUAUAUGUUCUUCUGCAUGAGCUGAAGGCUAUUGUUUUGGACGCCUUAACAGAUUCCCAAAUUUCUCCCAUGCAAUGAACUAUAGAGAAAUGAAUUUGAGUACAGGGCUCUUCGGACAUUUUCCUUGCUGUUGUGUUAUCUAUUCUCCUUGCUUCUGUUUUUUCCCCUCCUCGCUUCUGCUUCUCUGCUUAAUACCUUCGCUUCUGCUUCUCUGGUUAAUACCUCUCAACGUCCUCGAACAGCCUUGUCUGUUCCUGUUUUUUUUUCCUCACCUUUUUGUUUUACCCGGUUUCCUUUAAGUUGCUUGCAGCAGUUUCUGUUUGCUUACACCGGUAUUAAUCAGUUCUGUUAUGGGUUUUGAUUUAUUUAUUGGGAGGCCGUGCGUGACCAAUUUAGAGUUGUCCUUUUAUUUUCCUUUUAUUAUAUGUGUUGAUGCUCUGGCACAUUGCCUAGCAUGUUAAGCCCAGUUUCAUGACUCAGCAGUGGGGUGCAGUGUCGUCGAUAACUCUUUGCCGGUGCCUACUGUCAUCACCUAACCCACCCUCUCAUUUCAUCUUUAUUCUCUGAAGGCACUUCUAGGCAGCUAUUUAGAGUUUAAUUUUUUUUAGCGCUCUUCACUUUUGCAUUCUUCCUUGGUUGUUCUUAUAUUUGAUGUUUUCUAACUCCCAGGCUGAAGGUUUAAUCCGUUUUGUUCAGGGUUUUGCCUUCUCCAUAUUUACCUUUUUUUAUUUUUUUACCCCUCUCUGAGGCUGUGAUGAUAUAUAUAUAUAUAUAUAUAAAGAACUAUGAGGCCUCGAUGCCCCUGGUUUCUAGACGAUUGGCCUAUGUCCUCCAUUUUUUUCCCCUUACCGACUCCCAGGCUGAAGGUUUAAUUGGUUUUGUUCAGGGUGUUGCCUUCUCCAUAUUUACCUUUUUUGUUUUUUUACCCCUCUCUGAGGCUGUGAUGAUAUAUAUAUAUAUAUAAAAAAAGAACUAUGAGGCCUCGAUGCCCCUGGUUUCUAGACGAUUGGCCUAUUUCCUCCAUUUUUUUUCCCUUACCGAGGCUGUGAUGAUAUAUAAAAAAAAACUAAGAUAUUUUCGUUGUAUCCUCUCCAUUUCCUUUAAGGCUUUGCUUCUGUUGGAGAAAAGUGGUAGAAAGUUUUGGAUGGCCUCAUUUGUAGGCAACCAACUCUUGAUUCCCAUUGGCACUGCUUCAGCCGAUAACUUAAGCCUUCGCCAUAGGAAUUGCUGUCUCUUAGCUGAAUAAAACCUAGAAAAAGAUUGGAACAAACUGUUUUGCUUGCUAUGGAACCGAGCUCGAGCUGAAGCAAGCUAGGGUUUCCUGGAGCGGAUGCAACAAAAAUAGUUUCUGAUGCUCUUGUGGCCCUUCUUCGCGCUAUAUCUUACCAUUCGAUAUAAAUAAAGUCUGAGCCUCUAUACCCUUUUUAGAAACAAUUUUCUCUACAUAUUCCCUGUAUUUUUAUUGUUGCCUAUGUUUUGAUUGCUUUCGUCGCUCUCGAUGGCUCUUUUUUUACAUGAGCACAAAGAAAUAUAACAUAUUUCUCUUUUUUACCUAUGUUUUUAUUGCUGAAUUACAAUAUGCCUCUCUUUAUAUGUGUGUGUGUGUGCAUGUGCGCCUGUAUGCCCUUGAGACUUUUGACUAUUGUUUGCGGUGCAUAAGCAGAAUUACAAGAUCAGUGCAUGAGCUGAAUUACAAAGCAUUGAUUUUUGUGCCGUUCCUCUUCUGCCCUUUCCCUUGCUNUGUGUGCAUGUGCGCCUGUAUGCCCUUGAGACUUUUGACUAUUGUUUGCGGUGCAUAAGCAGAAUUACAAGAUCAGUGCAUGAGCUGAAUUACAAAGCAUUGAUUUUUGUGCCGUUCCUCUUCUGCCCUUUCCCUUGCUGCUGUGUUGUCCAUUUUUCUUGCUUCUAUUCUUUUCACAGUUUUGGGUGCCCUAUUUUCUCAGCAACCAGCUCUUGGUUUGCGCUCUUCCUUCCUCAACCUAUAUCUGGAAACGUUUGUGAAAUAGAAUAUCCCUUAGAUUAUUUGGCAUAAAAGGAAAGCUUACUUACACAGAACAUCCUGUUAAAUUAAAGCUCCAAAAUCAAUUGAAGUUUGUCACCACACUUAUACUUGAUGUUAUGCAAUCAAUCGAAGUUCUUUGCAUCUGUAGUUAGAGGCACCAAUAUAAAUAUUAAGUUCUUACUUAGUUUGGGUCAGAAAUCUGGGCUGCGUUUGGUUAGGAACUAAAGCUAGAGACUGCAUUUAUUCCCUUCUGUGUUAAGAUUGAACUUAUUCCCUACACCGAUUCCUUUUCCUCGAUAGCUUAUUGAGUUUUUUAUGUAUUUUGUAUGAAUUCUUCAGCUGGUUUGGAAAAAACAUUAUGCUUGCUGGAUUUGUUUCCUAGAAUUUCCCACUCUUAACCUUUUUCCCUGCAUUUUGAUUAAUUUACUCCAAUUGAGGAUUUGGGUUUUCUACUCAUUAUUUGUUUUGGUUCAACAUGUGCCUAUGGAGGUUACAAAAUUUUUUCUCCUACUUGAAUUGACCUUUUUUUGCAUUGCCAGAGCUUCCGAACAUGUAUAUUAUGUAUGGGUUUGUUUUACCUCUAUUUUUUUUUUAGAGAAUUUGUUUUACCUCCUUAAAUGCACAUUUUCUUCAUGUAAGUAUCUAUAAAAAUUGCAGUCUUACAAACACUUUUGACCAAUUCUCAUAUCCAAGUUUGCGCAUUCCCUUAUUUUGCUAUCUCUCUAUGAGGUGAAGUAAAGCACAUUUUGGAAUUCAUUUUUGCUCCUAGGCUUACAUGUUAUCCUAGAAUUAGUCAUGUAUUAGAGAAAGGCCUUGGAUUGUACUAAUAUUACUUGGUUUCAUUUUCCCUUACUGUUCUACCCGAUUUUCCUAUUCUAUUAAAAGGCUGUGAUGAUAAGUAGAGGGGAGUGCGGGAAAUGUUACUUUUGAAUGAGUGGAAAUUUGGACGGCAUCCUCAUAGGCAACCGCUUCUUACUGUUCUUGCUCUUAGUAGUUACACACCUUUGCCUCCGCUGGUAAUCUACUACUCGGUAGUCACUUCUUGCUGUUCUUAUUCCUGAGCAUUGCACGUGUUGCCUCCACUGGUAAUGUACUACUCGGUGGUCACUUCUUGCUGUUCUGGUUCUUGCUUUGGGCUGAAUCAAGAGUUUUGUUUUUUUCUCUUUCUUUGGUAAGCGCUCUACCUAUUAAGAUUACUGCUGGGAAAAAUAAAGUAUGUAAAAAAAAACAUGUAACAAUUGUGUGAAUUUACAUUUGUUCUAGCAUUUUCUUAAUUGACAAUACGAACUUAUUUGAGUGGACGUAAGAAUCAACCUUCUUUAAUUCUUGAUUUUGUUACUAGCAAAUUAGAUAAAACUUGAAGCCUCCAUCUGUCACUUCAAACUAUGUUAAUUGGUGCUUUCUAUACUUUGGUUGCUACAGCUAAUCUGAUGAUUGUGCUUUCUAUGAUGGUGAUUUUGAGACAGCUAUUUUCUAACCAUUCCUUUUGAGAAGGCUGCAGAUUAAGUUCUUUGUCCACCAACUAGGGUUUGAAAUUGCUUUUAAUCUCUAUCAACAUGUGAUUUUGUACUUUUGCUUCAUAAAGAAUUUCGUUUUAGAUGAUAGCUUGAGUUCUGCUACAUCCAUCCCACAAAAUUCUUGCAAAUUUUUGCUCUACGAAAGAUGAUUCGUAUAGAUUAUAAUGAUUUAAACUUACAUAACUGAUGUUUUGGCUAAAUUUUCAAUCUGCAUAUUCUUUUGGCGAUUCUGUGGAUUUUAUUUUUUAUUCAUUUAUCAUGGUCUAUUAUAGUAUUUUCAUUGAGCAUAAUAGAACCAUCUUGAAGAUUUUGUUUUCCUGCUAAAAAUUUAUUCCCUGUUUUGUUGGAGAAUAUUUUCCUUCCUGUUUCUUUCUUUUUUCUAGCUCUUCUUUGAGGCGAUGAUGAUAAGUUGAGGGAAGUGCAUAAAAUAUUUGCUUCGAACAAGUUGAGGUUUGGAUGGCCUACUAAUAGGCAACUGCUUCAUAUUGUCUUAGCCUUGGUGGUCGCGCGCAUUUCCCUCUAACGGUAAUUUAUUGCUCGGCAACCACAAAAGUGUGGAAAAUGUUUACUUCGAACAAGUGGAAGUUUGGAUGGCCUACUCAUAGGCAGCCGCUUCAUAUUGUCUUACCCUUGCUGAUUGCACGCAUUUUCCUACGGCGGUAAUUUAUUGCUCAGGAACCACUUCCUACCAUUCUUAUCCUUGGCGGGUGCGCACAUUUGCCUCCUACGGUAAUCUAUUGCUCCUACUACUACCCAAUCCUUAUGACCAAUCUUGCCGAGUACUUAUGAACAAUGUUGCCGAUUCUACUUAACUGAGCAUUACCUUUUUGUUCCCUUUUUGGGUGAUUCUUUAAAUUGGUUUUACAACAGAAUUUAUACAACUGUUUGGAUUGUUCCCUACUCAUUGCCUUUGUAAAUACUUUUCUUUGUUUUUCUGUCGGCAUUCGAAUUGAAUUCUUCCUCGGAUUUUUUUUGCAUGCAUAUUCUGUUGGCGAUUCUUUGGAUUAUAUUUUUUCAUUCAUUCAGCAUAGUCUAUUAUGGUAUUUUCAUUGAGCGUAAUAGAACCAUCUAAUUUAUUUCCUGCUUUUUUGAAGAAUAUUUUUCGUACUGUCACUUUCUAUUUUCCGGUUCUUUUGUGAGGCACUGAUGGCAAGCUGAGGAAAGUAUAGAAAAUUAUGAUGAUUUAUAGGUGGUUGUAUGCAUUUAUUUUCGCUUUUUUGCGUUCCAGGACGUAAGGCCUUCCUUUUUAAUUCACUUUAGAGAAAGAAUUUGGGUUUAAUUUAGAUUCUUUUUUUCAAAUUUCUUUUAUAGAGUAUGAGCACGGGAACAAAAUCUUCAAGACGGUUCUAUUCUACUCAAUAAGAAAACUAUAAUAGACCAUGACAAAUGAAAAAAGAAACAGAAUCCAAAGAAUCCUCAAAAGAAUAUGCAGACUGUAAAAAUAGCCAACAGGAUCCUCAAAAAAUAUGCAAACUGAAAAUUUGGUCAAAACAUCAGUUAUAAAGGUUUCAAUCAUUAUAACCUAUAUGAAUCAUCUUUCCUAUUGUUUAUAGCUUAGCCUCAUUAUAAUCUAUAUGAAUCAUCUUUCUUAGAGCACACCUUACAAAAUAUAGUUUUUAUUUACCCCCUGUUGGAUGAAAAUUGGAGCUUUUGCAUCCUUUUUCUUGUUCUCCUUAUGUUCAUCUUGCUUUGCUUGAGUCCAUGUUGCAAAAAUGCUUCUUAAUUUGGUAGUUCUUUGUAGCCUGAGACAUAAAAUCAAUAACUGGAAUGGAAUAGGUUAGCUAAUUAUAUAGUUAUUAAUUGAGUAAACACACUAAUAAGUGUUUUAUUGAUUAGUAAUUGCCCAUAAAUAGUAACUCGCUUGCUAGUGCAGGCGAGUAGGAGGCAUAUAUUAUUAAUUAGCAAUGCUGCAUAAUUACCAGAGACUGUUAUUUGCUUUCCCUACUACUACUCUGUGCUUAUGAGUAGUGUUGCCCAAUCUGCAUAGCUAAUCUUUACUUUUUUAUGCUUUUUUAGUGUGAGAUUGUUUGGAUUAUUUCUUUUGUUACUCAAACCACCCAUUUUCAUGUCCCAUUACAGUCUAAUUUAUCAAACUAUUUGGCAUAGUUCUUGCUUACCUGCUUCUUACAUGAAUUGGGUGGUUACUUAAUAUUUGAACCGCUACAAUGUUUUGGAGAUUAAGUGGGCUAUUGUUCUCGCCUGAAUUGGCUAUUUUUUCUCUUUACCCGAAAUCUUUCGGACGCGUUUAUUACUGGUGCUGGUUUAUAGAUUUGCUUUUUUUUCCCAUCAGUUUUUUUCCUGGGCUUGGGUGCGUAAAAAAAGUCCAGGUUUAUUGUGGAGCACGCUUAUUUUGGGGAAGAGGGCUUGUUCUACAAAAACUUGGUUACUUUGCGCCAUGCUUUUAUGGUUUAGUCUUAAAAAACUCUUGCCUGCAGCCUUGGUUUUGGCAUCGGUUGGUGAACAAAAAUUAAAAAUUUUGGAAUCCCCAGGUGGCUUUUUUCCCUCCGCAUGUUUUCCGCCAAAGAAAACAAUAAUGUUUCUUAUAUUUCUUUAGUAGCAGCAGGUUUAAAAUUCAAAAAAAAAGCAAUUAAGAUUUUGUUUGUAUAAGCUUUCUCGAUACUACAUGAUUCAGAUUGAGCUGGUAUCGGGAAUACUUUGCGCGAACUCUACGCGUGUUUAAAUCCUCCUCCUCAGGUUGAAAUUUGGAUGCAAAUUUGGAUUUGUGAGUCGGAUUGGGGAGGUUUACUUUGCGCGAUCUCUACGUGUGUUUACAUCUUCAAGUUGAAAUUUGAUGUAAAUUUGGAUCUGUGGGUCGAAUUGGGGAGGUUUUAUUACCGUUUAACUUUUGGGGCAGUUGAAUUGUGGGGAUUUCUAUACAAAUAUAUAUGUUGCGAUCUCUAAAUGCCAUGGUGGUUUCGUUACAAGGAUGCUAAUCUCUGACUCUGACUGUGGUUUCACUACAAGGAUGCUUAUCUCCACCAGUAGAAAACCUAUUUAAAAAAGCUUGGAAAACAGUCCUCAACCAAUUGACCUGAAUAAAACCUUCGUGGAAAAGUUGUUGGCCCAAAAAAAAAAAACUGUUGGAGAACUUUAGCAAUAGCUGAAUCACUUUUUGAAUACGUCAAAUAGUCCAGAGAAGAGAACUUCGCGAUGAACUCCGCAAUUGGCUGUUUGAUGCUUUUGGGAUAGUUUUCAACUUAUUUCCACAAACUGGUUCUGGGUGUAUCUUGUUUUGUCAAGGAUGUAUGAGUUUCUUUGAAUGCUUUUUUGAACUCCCUAUAUGACAGCCUUUGGAGUACAAUUCUGCGUUGAGUUCCUCUGAAUGCUUUUCUGAACUCCCUAUAUAACAGACUUUAGAAUAUGAAAAUCUUUUAAGCUAAUACUAAGAUCAUCCAAAAUCAGUUUUUACAAUUUUUUUCCAAGGAAGAAGCGUUAUCCAAAAACAGUUUUUACAAUUUUUUCCCAAGGAAGAAGCUACCGGAGGCUCUUUAGAAGCCAUACAAAGCAGCUUUAUAUGCGAUGAACUCCGCAAUUGGCUGCUUGAUGCUUUUGGGAUGGUUUUCAACUUGCAUUUCCACAAAAGGAUGCUUAUCUCCACCAGUAGAAAACCUAUUGAAAAAAGCUUGGAAAACAGUCCUUAACCAAUUGACCUGAAUAAAACUUUCCUUCGUGGAAAAGUUCAAGGAUGUAUGAGUUUCUUUGAAUGCUUUUUUUAACUCUCUAUAUGACAGCCUUUGGAGUACAAUUCUGCAUUGAAUUCCUCUGAGUGCUUUUCUGAACUCCCUAUAUGACAACCUUUAGAAUAUGAAAAUCUUUUAAGCUAAUACUAAGAUCAUCCAAAAUCAGUUUUUACAAUUUUUUCCCAAAGAAGAAGCGUCAUCCAAACACAGUUUUUACAAUUUUUACCCAAGGAAGAAGCUACCGGAGGCUCUUUAGAAGCCAUACAAAGCAGCUUUAUACGCGAUGAACUCCGCGAUUGGCUGCUUAAUGCUUUUGGGAUGGUUUUCAACUUGCAUUUCCACAAAUUGGUUCUGGGUGUAUCUUGUUUUGUCAAGGAUGUAUGAGUUUCUCUGAAUGCUUUUUUCAACUCUCUAUAUGACGGCCUUUGGAAUAUGAAAAUUUUUUAAGCUAAUACUAAGAUUAUCCAAAAACAGUUUUUCCCCGCAUUUCCACAAACUGGUUCUGGGUGUAUCUUGUUUUGUCAAGGAUGUAUGAGUUCUUUCUAAACUCCCUAUAUGACAACCUUUGGAAUAUAAAAAUCUUUUAAGCUUAGACUAAGACUGUCCAAAAACAAUUUUCCCUGUUUUCUUCCAAGGUUAGAAGCCAUACAAAGGAGCUUUAUACAAUUUUCAUGCUUUUCCCUCUCUCUUUAUGUUUAUAUAUAUGGACUGUUUAUUUCUUACUUCCUUUUGCCAUCUUUGCCUACAGGAAUGGCUCCCCUUACACUUUAAUAGCUUUUACCCUCUUUUUUCCUUUGAUGAAUUUUCUGAUAAUUUAUCCUCUUCUACUUUGUACCUAUUUUGUAUGCUGGUUUUUCCCUUUCUUUUUCAUUUGAUGAAUUUCCCUGCUAAUUUGUCCUCCUCUACUUUGUUCCCAUCGUAUUUUUCAGCUCCACCUUGCUCACAUUUUUAAAUAGUUUACUUAGGAGUUAUGUCUUUCCUAUGGUUUUUAUUGUCCCUCCUCUUGUUGGCACCUUAUUUAUUAAUCUCAUGUUUAAGAUGGUAUAAUUGGGUGAAAGAGGCGGCGAUGAUUUUGCAUCAAAAAAAGAUCAUAGAAAAUGCUUCAUACUUUCCUGGCAUAGCUUACUUUCUUUUCCCUUUUCUCUUUUCCUUGCUAUGAUUUUCCCAAAAAAAUAUAUAUUUCUUUUGCAUCUUUUGUUUAGCAUAUGCUCUACUUCUCCGUUGCUUCAGUAUAUUGUUGUUUUACUGACGUCACUUUCUUCCGUUUUCCCCUUCUUUUUGCUUUCUAACUUUCUUGCUUCUCUUUCAGCCUAUGAUGCUAGGUUGAGGAAAGUGUCGCAAGUAUUGGCUUCGAACGUCUUGAGGUUUGGGCGAAGUGGAAGUUUGGGCGUCGUACUCAUAGGCACCCGCUUCCUUCGAUUGUGACCCUCAGUGUUUGCGCACAUUUCCCUUCAAUGGUGAUCUACUGUUUGCCAACCUAUUCCCUAUCAUUGUUGCAUUCUUUGCCCCUACACGCUUUCUCUUUGUUUGGUUCACUGUUGUUCCUACUCCUGCUUUAUGCUUAUGGGUAGUUUUUCCCCUGUCCUCCUUAACUGUGUCCUCUACUUUUCCCAUGCAUAAUUAUAAUAUGAAUCAUACUAUUGUUGGUGUGAGACCCCGGUUUCUGUCAGUGGGGACUUGUCGACAGCUCUGGAGAGUGUCGAGACAAGCCCGAGUCGCGUUGGCGUCAAAUAGACGCGAAACGGACUCCGUGCGACGCGAGGGCAGCAUUCUGUGUGAAAAUCUGCAAAAUUGCAGGAUUUUUACUCUGCUGUACCGGUACAAGGUUUGUGCUGUACCGGUACAACCAUCAUGGAAAGUCGCUUGCUGUACCGGUACAAGGGUCCAUUUGUACCGGUACAGAGCGUGCGACAGAACUCAGUUGCUCUCGGGUUUGGCCUUGUACCGGUACAGCAAUCCGUGUACCGGUACAAGGGAGUUGGUAAGGGCUAAAUCCGUAAUUUUCUACCUCGUUUGUAACGAUUUCUUCUCUCUCUCUAUAUAGCUUCGUGUAGAGAGAGAGAGGGGGCUUCCUGUUGCUCUUCACCAUCUCUCUCUCUCUCUCUCGGUUGAAGGUAGGGAAGAAGCCCGGUUGGGGAUUUCGUCGCCGACGUCGCGCCGCGAGCUGUUCGAGCGCACUUGCUGCCGGAGCUUUGCGAGGAGGCCGGGCGAAGCAGCGUCUUCAUUGUUCUUGACGUCGCGCCGAGGUUCGACGCUGUCGAGGUGGGUGAUUCGGCGUCUUUUCUGGAUUUUGGGCAAGUAUUACUAUUUCUACUCGGUUUGUAGCUGUUUUGCUGAAAUCUGCCGUCGACUGUUCGUAUUUCAGCUCGUUCUCCGCGUAGGAGCGUCGGAUCGCGACGAGGCUUGGUUCGUUGGAUUCGGGACUUCGAGAGGAAUCCACGAAGCCCUCAUUUGCCAGAUUUGGUGAAGGUUAGCUUGGUCGAAUCCCGUUUCUACUCAGCUGCUGUGAAUUUCUGGACUGAAUUGAGGAUCCUUAAUUGUUUAGCUUGGAGUUAGCUCGAUUGCGAGAAUCGGACGCUUUCAGUCAACCCAGCAGGUGGUGUCGCAGCUGAGGGGAGUGUUCCGCUGCCUGGGAUUAGCGUGCGAGGUGGGUUACAUCGGUUUCGACUCCUAAGUUCAUAAUCGUCGACAUGUAUAGAUAUGAAUUUUUGGUAAUCUAGUUUAGCUCAAAUUCAUGGAUUAUGUGCUAGAAUGUGAGAACUGAAUUUUGAGCAUGCUUUAUAAUUAAUUAGAUUAUACAUGUUGGACUUGAAAAUUGAAUUAGGAGAAAACCUGCGAUUUGGACCUGUCACCAGUUUUAACUACCUGAUUUAGCUCUAGGAGCCGUUAGAAAAUUGUACUGUCGCAGUUUCUUCGAGACGAGUACCCCAGAUAGUUUAGAAUGUAUUUACUCCUUGCUGGUUCGCCGAGUGGAUUUUGACAGGGUCGUUCAGGUCGUUUCGGACUGUUGGGUGCCGUCAGAGUUGACGGUGGACCGUAUCGCUUUUGGCUGUCAGAUGUGCCGAGGGACGUUACUAUUGGUUGUUAGAUCAUUUGAGUCGAUUACUUGACUAUGGCUAGUUGGGAGCCUGAUUGAGCUCGACAGAGAUACGCUGCAUACUCGUUGGGUAGCGCCCACGAGUGCCACUCCGGAGUUAGGCUUGUGGCUUUUGCGUUGUGUCGUCAUUGCAGUUGGACUUGCUUCCACGGACCAGUUAGUGUGGAUAGAGCUGGAUAGUCGCAACGGGGCAGGGACGGGUGUAUUCACAGUCCCGGGGACGGGUAUGCUUACAGUCCCGAUUGGAUUGGGUCAGAUUUGACAUUUCCUACAGUUGGUUAGUGUAGAGCAUGAUAGUGUAGUGGAUGAUAGCGGUAGAGUAUGCUUCCUGCUUUCCUUCUAUCCUUGCUCCCUUCUGUAGACUUAGUGGGUGACCGAUGUUGUUUUGGGCGGUACCCACUGAGGACUACUUGUUUUUACAGUAGUUCUCACGCCCAGUUGUUACCUAUGUUUUUGCAGAGCCACAGGUUCCGGCUGCUGCACCGUCCGUGGAUCAGGAUCGAGGCAAGGGCGUCGCGAGUUAGAGCCCUACCCGACGUGCUGAGCUAGAGGUGCCCUACUGCAGGUAGAUAUUUUGGUUCGAGUUUAUGUACAUAGUUGACUUAACUCGCCAGUGCGAGUAGCUCUGUAUUUUGGAUCUGAACUAUGUAUAUGAAACUCCGUUUUAUUUAGCUUCUGUUUUCUCUAGCAGCUCUCUACUACUGUUCGUAGUAGUGUUUGAUUUACAGGUACAGCUAUCGCUUCGUAUACAGGGAAAAUUUCUUUGUAUACGGCGGAUUUGUCGGCGUGCCCGGGGAACGUGUAAUCCGGGGCGUGACAGUUGGUACAAUUCUGACUUAAUUAGUUUAUUAAAUACUAGCUCCCUUUAACAAGUUUUGUGAAUAUUUAUUUGUUAUUAAUUUGACUGUAGUAAAGUUUUCCUACUCUAGAUAUUUCUAUGUGCUUGGUUUGGUUAUACUUAAGGUUACUAUGCGUACCUUUGUUUGAGAUUGGGUGUUGAUACAUUGUUAUUAUACUAAUAUUACUUGAUUUGGAUUAUUUCUGGCUGUUUCUUUACUGAUUUCUUGCUCUUCUUUAAGGCUAUGAUGAUAAGUAGAGGGAGGUGUAGAAAACAUUUCUUACGAAGGAUGGAAGUUUGGACGGCCUAUUUAUAGGCAACCGCUUCCUGCACCUGUUAUUCUUUGUGAUUACGCAUAUCUAUCUCCGAUGUUAAUCUAUUGUUGAUCUAUUACUAUGCAUUCAUUUCCUUAGCGUUCUGGUCCUUCAAUGAUCUGCACUUCCCCUCCCUGCAGUGAUCUGCUGUUCAUCGCACUGCCAUUUGCUUAUGUGCGGUGCUGCUGAAUCUACUUAACUGAGCCUUUUUUGUUUUCGCGUGUUUUCCCACAAAAAAAAAGAUAUAUAUGUUCCCUUGAACGAUGUUGGCGAUUCACAGAUAGGUUGUAAGCAACCGAUUUUGUAAAUAUUUGUUUGUUUUUUAUUUCUCUCUUGAAGUUUUGCCCUCCUCAGAUAUUUCGCUGUACUUUGUUUGGUUUUGCUUUGGGUUACUAUUCCUGUCCUUGUUUGAGAGUGAGUAUUCAUAUAUUGUUAUUUUACUAAUAUUACUUGAUUUUGUUUAUUUCUUACUAUUUCUUUAUAGUUGUCUUGGCCUACUUUAAAACUGCAAUGAUAAGUCGUUUAGUUCUUACUAUUUCUUUAUAGUCUUCUUGCUCUGCUUUAAAAAUUGCAAUGGUGUAAAAUCUUGCUGCUUUAGUUAUGUUCGUUUUGGUUACUGAACUUCAUAUAAAUUAGUUCACCUUAUGAGCAACACUCAAUAAACACUCAAGUUCAGCGAAUGUUAAUUAUAAUAUUGUGAAAGUAGCUGCAUAAAAAAAGUGGAUUCUUUGUGACCUCAAAUGAUUUGCUAGGCAAUGAUGAUACGGAAUUGACAAAAGGCUAAGCUUCAUGGGCUUGAGGCAACACUUGCGCCGAUUGUUGGUUUAAAAAAUAAUAUUCAAUAUGUGAUGAUGCAAAAUAGCUUGUUUGGCAAUUGUGAUACGGAUUUAGAGAAAGUCCAAGCUUAUGGUGAUACUUAAUUAAAGAAUAGGCAAGCUUGAUGGCCUUAGGCCAACACUUGCACCAGUUGUUGGCUAAAAAAGGAGCAUCACAUAUAUGACGAUACGGAAUUUUUUAAAAAAAAAACUUGAUGGCCUUACGGCAAAACUUGCGCCAAUUGUUAGCUAAAAGAAAAAAAAAGUCUAUUGACUAUGUGAUGAAAAGAAUGAAGAUGUCCUUACUAUUUGAGCUCACCUGACUUUUCCAAAAUCUUUUGGAAUCACUAAUUAUCCAUUUCUUUUUGUCGCUACUCUCCAGAGCGGCCUGCAAAAUACGGUUUUGCGCUCAUUUCAUGUUUAGUGGUUAUACUCAUGAUUCAAAAGUAUAUUGAGGACGAAAUUUUGUUCGGAUUUGCAAUAACUAUGACCAGAAUUAGAUGUCUAUGCUUUCUUUGCCUUUCUAUAAUAAUGCCUUGAUCGUUUAUUCUAUUUGUUUAUUCUAGGUUUAACUUAACUGAAGGAAAUCUCUCAGUUUUAUGCUUAAUUUGCAAGUAUCUCUCUCUCGAAAUUUUGUCCUCCUCAGAUAUUUCGCUGUACUUUGUUUGGUUUAACUUUGGCUUACUAUUCGUGUCCCUGUUUGAGAGUGAGUAUUCAUAUAUUGUUAAUUUACUAAUAUUAUUUGAUUUUGUUUAUUUCUUACUAUUUCUGUAUAGUUGUCUUGGCCUACUUUAAAACUGCAAUAAUAAGUCGUUUAGUUCUUACUAUUUCUUUAUAGUCUUCUUGGUCUGCUUUAAAACUGCAAUGAUGUGAAAUCUUGCUGCCUUAGUUAUGUUUGUUUUGGUUGCUGAACUUCAGAUAAAUUAGUUUACCUUAUUACCAACACUCAACAAACCCUCAAGUUCAGCGAAUGUUAAUUAUAAUAUUGUGAAAGUAGCUGCAUAAAAGAAGUGGAUUCUUUGUGACCUCAAAUGAUUUGCUGAGCAAUGAUGAUACGGAAUUGACAAAAGGCUAAGCUUGAUGGGCUUGAGGCAACACUCGCGCCAAUUGUUGGUUUAAAAAAAUAAUAUUCAAUAUGUGAUGGUGCAAAAUGGUUUGUUUGGCAAUUGUGAUACGGAUUUAAAGAAAGUCCAAGCUUACGGUGAUACGGAAUUAAAGAUUAGGCACGCUUGAUGGCCUUAGGGCAACACUUGCACCGGUUGUUGGCUAAAAAAGGACCACCACACAUAUGACGAUACCGAUUUUUUUAAAAAAAAGCUUGAUGGCCUUAUGUCAAAACUUGCGCCAAUUGUUUGCUAAAAGAAAAAAAAAAGUCUAUUGACUAUGUGAUGAAAAGAAUGAAGAUGUCCUUACUAUUUGAGCUCACUUGACUUUUUCAAAAUCUUUUGAAAUCACUAAUUAUCCAUUUCUUUUUGUCGCUACUCUCUAUGCUUAAUUUGCAAGUAUUCUCCAGAGCGGCCUGCAUCUUUGACGUUCUUAUUCGUAUUCUGCUGUUGUACAUCAUGAGUGCCAUAGUUUUUUUGUUUUUCGUCGGUUUACUGUGUUUGAUUCGUGUUAGGAAUUGUACAAGGUAAAUAAUGCGGGUGUAUGUAAAUACGGUUUUGCGCUCAUUUCAUGUUUUGUGGUUACACUCAUGAUUCAAAAGUAUAUUGAGUAGGAAAUUUUGUUUGGGUUUGCAAUAACUAUGACCAAAAUUAGUUGGCUAUGCUUUCUUUGCCUUUCUAUAAUAAUGCCUUGAUGGUUCAUUCUAUUUGUUUAUUCUAAGUUUAACUUAACUAAAGGAAAUCUCUUAGUUUUAAGCUUAAUCUGCAAGUAUCCUACGAAAAAAAUGUUGCAGUUUGUUCUUAAUAUCAGAAUUUAUACUUGCCAUAUACCCUGUCGUGCAAUUCGUUCUUAAUAUCUGGUCAGUCCUUCGUGGGAUUGGCUCAGCUGAGUUCCCUGCAUUUUUUUCCCCCGAAAACUUUCUAACAUAUUUGUCAUUGCUUCUAAUUUAUUGUGUUUAGUUCUUAGCUUUUGUACCCCCCGCGAAUUGCAAGUAGUAAUUGAGUACUAAAAUAUUGCCCUGGUUAUGUCAUGGUAUUAAAAUUUUCACUCCUCUUUGCCUGCUUUAAUGUAAAUUUUUAGAGUUAUUUAUUGCAUUUUUCUUUAGCUCCAGCUUUUUUGUACUUCCUAAUGCUUCUUGCACUCUUUUCACAAUUAGGAGUAGUACAAGCAAAAUGAUGCAAUAGCUUCUGAUUGUUGAACCUUUUAGUGAUGAUGACAUUAUACAAUAGAUGAAUUAAACAUUUAGGUUGUCAUUAAAUGAAAAUCAGUUGCACUUGUAAUUCGAACUAUGACAAAUAUUAGUUAAUAGUCAACUCUUUUAUAAUACCUUGAUGUUUCAUUCUGUUUGCUUAUUCUAAGGACACUUUUAAGUAAAGGAACCCUCUUUGCGCUUUAUAUUGUAUGCUUACCCAUUAAUUAGGCUCUCCCUAUACAUAUAUAUGUGUAUAUAUAUAUAUAUAUAUAUAUAUAUAUGUAUAUAUAUAUAUGUAUAUAUAUAUGCAUCUCCGUAUAUCCUUAAUGGAGAAUUCCAUUUUUCAGGUAUCAAAUUGGGUUUUUUAUAUGCUUUGUAUGAAUUCUUCAGCUGUUUGUUCAAAAACAUUUUUCUCAUUGGAUUUGUUUACCUUUUUUAAAAUCCUUUUUCCUUGGGAUUUUGAUUAAUUUCACUGGUAUCAAUUAGCUCAUUUUUCUAAGAUUGCGUUUCCAUGCAAAUCGGUUUCCUUCGAAAUGUAUUUAAGCUAACCAAAUUACCUAUAUUAUAUGGAUGCUAUUACUUGAUGUUUACGGAUUCUUUCACUAUGUGUUAGAAAUAUUAAAACUGUGGAAGCUUCGUGCUGGUAAGGUAUGAAUUUGAGAAUAAAAUAUUUGUGGCCCCAUUUUUCCUCUAAGAAUUUUCCUCAUGUCCCUUGAUUUUGACUGUCAACAUUAGCGUCAAAUUCUUACUGGGAAUUUUAUAACAUGGAAGAGAAGUUCUCAUCUUUUACUAUAACUGAAUGCUUCAUUUAUUUGGCAUCUAAGUUAGCCAGCUGGAUUCUGAAUUAUCUAGCUUAAUUCUGCUGCAUGGGAAUUUCGUAGAACUCCUUUUGUAUAUCUUCUCUAGAUUGCCUAGCUAAAUCCUGAAUUACCUAGCAAAAUCCUGAGUUCGAAAUUCAGGUCUCCGAAAUCUGAAUUGUAUUAUAAGAAUCUGGAUUGUACUAUAAGAGUCAGAAUAGGCCAAAAUUAGGAAUUCUGAAUUCUGGACGAGCAACCUUUUUAUAAAAAAUAUUAUAUAUGAAUUGGCUUUCCAAAUUCUGAAUUCUAGGUUCUGAAUCCAGAAUACGCUUUCUGGACAAAGGAUAUUUAUUUUUCUUAUAUUCUUCAUGCAAUUCCAAACUACAUAGCUUAAUUCUAAAUUCCCACGCUAUGAUGAUCUUCUCCUCAAAUAGCAAAUAAUUGCGAUAUAUUUGUACUGAAAAUAUUUUCGGUGUGCAAAUAGGUUUUAUACAAUUAGCACUACUAACCAGCCAGACUUUGGUGUCAAACUAAUAAUGUUUGAUUUCAUGGAGAAUCUGAGCAAAGAAUAUUUGUUUUCCUUACAAUUCCAAAUUGCCUACUUGAAUUAUCAAUUGUCUACUUGAAUUCUAAAUUGUGUAGCCGAAUUCUAAAUUCAGAAUUUAGAAUGUAGAAUUUAGAAUCGCAGCAAAGUAUUUGGUGCAUAUAAAAGUUUAAAAUUAGAAGUUAUGGUCUUAAUUGCAUCAGGAUAUUUAUGCAUAUGAAAGGUUCAAAUUCGGAAUUCUGAAUUGUGUCGGUGAUGUUCCAGGAUUCAGAAUUCUGCAUUCUAAAAAGUUAGAAUUGCAUAUAAAAAUUUGGGAAUGAAAAUUUAGAAUUCUGGAUUCACAAUUUUCAAUAUUGGCUUGCAUCAAUAACCUUUUAGAAUUUAAAAGCUUAAAACUUGGAAGCUUAAAAUAUACAAUGCAGAAUUGUAUUUAAAAGAUCCCAAUAUUUGCAAGCUGUUUGAAAAUUCUUGAUAAAUUCAUUUUAUAUACGCCUUAGAUACUUUUUUUUUUUAAAUGGUCCCAUUUACAUAGAAUGUGCCUUAGGUUAUUUAACACAAAAGGUAAGCUUUCUUAUGUAGAACAUCCUGUUAAAUUGGAGCUCCAAAAUCAAGUGAAGCUCUCUACCAAAGUCAAACUUGACAUUAUACAAUACAUUGAAGGUGUCUGCAUGACAUACCAUGCUUCUCUAUUUUUCUAUUUUGAUUCUUCAAGAGUUGCUCAGUAUAUUUGAUAUUUUGCUUUAGUGAAAAAAACCUUUAGAUAUUAGCAUUUAACAUGCGGAUUUGUUGUAUGUUAGUUUGGUGGUCUCUAUAGUCAACCAUAGAUAAGUCGCUCUUAAUGUGUUUGAUGUUUUGCUUCAAUGAGAACUCUUUUGUUUAUUAGAAUGCAGGAGGGUCCUAGCUUCGUCUCUUUGCAGCUAACUAUGCUCUUAAGGUGUUUGAUGGUUUGUUUUAAUGAAAACGCUUUUGAGUGUUACCAUGUCGCACACAAGUUUGAUGUUAAUUUGCUCUGCUCUUUAUAGCAAACUAUAGAUAAAUUGUUCUUACGGUAUUUGGUGUUUUGCUUCAAUGAGAAAACGUCUCUGCUCAUUACUUGCUUUGGUUCGGCAUGUCCCUAUGGAGGUUAAAAAACAUGUGCUUUCUCAGCUGAUUCGGUCAUUUUCUUGUGUGCCGGAAUCUUCCGAACAUGUAUAUUAUUUAUAAAUUUGAUUUCCUUCUUUAAAUGCACAUUUUCUUUAUGUAAGUACCUAAAAAAAAAUGCAGGCUUAUAUACACUUUUGCUCACUUUUCAUUUCCAAGUUUCUACAUUUCCUGUUUUUUUUUCCCCUAAUUUACUUGGUUUCAUUUAUCCCUUACUAUUUUUACCCCUUUUCCUAUUCUUCUUUAAGGCUAUGGUGAUAUGUAGAGAGAAAUGUGGAAAAUAUUGCUUUCGAAUGGGUGGAAGUUUCGAUGGCCUACUCAUAGGCAGCCACUUCUGGCUUUUCUUAUUCUUAGUACUUACACACAUUUCCCUCCAACGGUAAUCUGCCACUCCCAUUGCACAUAUUUACUUCCCACAAUAGCUUACUUUUCCUGUUACUACCCAGUGCUUAUGAGUGGUGUUGCCGAAUUAGAAUGCAGGAGGGUUCUAGCUUCGUCUCUUUGCAGCUAACUAUGCUCUUAAGGUGUUUGAUGGUUUGUUGUAAUGAAAAUGCUUUUGAGUGUUACCAUGUUGCACACAAGUUUGAUGUUAAUUUGCUCUACUCUUUAUAGCAAACUAUAGAUAAAUCGUUCUUACGGUAUUUGGUGUUUUGCUUCAAUGAGAAAACCUCUCUGCUCAUUACUUGCUUUGGUUUGCCAUGUCCCUACGGAGGUUAAAAAACAUGUGCUUUCUCAGCUUAUUCGGUCCUUUUCUUGUGCGGCGGAAUCUUCCGAACAUGUAUAUUAUUUAUAAAUUUGAUUUCCUUCUUUAAAUGCACAUUUUCUUUAUGUAAGUACCUAAAAAAAAAUGCAGGCUUAUAUACACUUUUGUGAAACCCCAGAUAGUCCUAUACAUUCAUACAUUCACGAUUCACAACCGAGUUUACAUUCGAGUGUUAAAACAGAAGUGCCAUGAAAAAUCUUUUGAAAACUGUUUCGUACGCGAAAAUUUUAUCUUUUAUAGAAGCUACCACGAGGGUGGAAAACUUUUAUUUUACCAAAUCCAGAAAUCCUUUUAAUACGUUCAUGAAAGUCCAUAUAUAUCCAAUUAAUAAAAAUAACCGAAACCAUAUAAACUGACUAAGCUUAUAACAACGAGAUAGUAGGGAUAUAACUAAACCGAUAACCUGGUCGAAGCUCUAUCGACCGCUACGAACGUACCUCACGUCUCGUCCCAUAACUCAACGUCUGCAGUUACUCUGAAAAAUAGUGGGGAGGUGAGAACAUGUAAACAUGUCUCCCUCCAGUGUACCGCAAGCCGAAGAAGGCGAGGAUACUCACGGAUCAGGAAGAGUAUAAACAACAGUAUGGGUAAGUAAAAUACAGUAGCAACGAUAUAUGAACGAAUGAGAUAUAUAUAAGAAAGCACAACUAUCCACGCUACUGUAUGUACAACUGCAAGCAAUACAAGGAUAUCAAAAAACUAGUAGCUAAGAAUAACUGUAAAGAAAGAAAAGAAGUAUAUAUGCAACAACCCGCUACUAUAGCUAUAUGCGUCAACCGGACGAGAAGUCCAAACGACCCAAUCUAAACCCCGUGUCGUCUAAGGACCUCAGCAAAAAGCCACUAUCUGCUCAUCACCUGGCAAUGUAACCCUAGCACAAAGAAACACCGCUGGGUCUCACGGGUCGCAUGUACGUCCACUUUUCGCGAGAAAAGAACACCCUCCUGCGGGGGAUCAACCCGCUGGUGUACGUGAAAUGCACUCGAGCUGUGGCGAUCAAUGCGGAUAUGAUCAAUAGCCAACCGUCGGCAAUCAGCCGACAAUCACUGCCCCUCUGGGCAUACCGACCGUGUAGGUCAUCAAGUAACAACGUGAACCGACCGAGAUAGGUCAAUGUACGGAAAGUAACGAACGACCAAACAGGUCACCGAUGCAAAUAGGAGAACCGACCAACCAGGUCACAAGUAUAGUAUAUACGAAUGCCAUCUACUCUACCCCUAUACAGGAUACUACACAUAAAACAACCAGGCAGAGUAAAUAAAGAUAGUAUGUAGAUACUGCUCGAUGUCAACUAAAAGUACGAACGCAGGAACCGACCGAUAGGUCACAGGAGUGUAUUCGAUAUAGUCCAGAACUACCGGCAGCACCAGCUGACAAUCCUACCCCUCAGGGUAUACCGACCUCAAAGGUCAUCGACGACAGAAGUCAAGAAACAGACCAACCCAAUAUAUAAUGCAACAACCGACCAACCAGGUCAACAGAUAUAAGAUAAAGGCACCGAUCAAUUAGGUCACCGAAACGAAGUACGAGAACCGACCAAUUAGGUCACUGGUAUCACAUAUGGAUCAACUACUCUACUCCUACACAUGAUACUAAGCAUAGAAACAUAUGAGUAGAGCAUAAUAGAAACAACGGGGAUGCAAGCUCAAUAUAUAAUACGAAAAUAGCAACAGAAGAACAGGGAUAGAAGAAUAUCACCGAGCGUGCACCACUGUACCGACUUCGGAUCGAAGUACCCACCUGUACAAGUCUGGAUUAGAUCUCACGACGGCGGGGAAACAGAGCAACCGGACCUACGAAAGGUCCACAAGAUCAGAAGGAGACCCUAAUGUCAGCAACCAAUAUAAAAUCCCUAGACAAGGAACAACGGGAAUCGGUUUCCCAAGACCGAUUGUCGAAUCACAUCGGGAGUCCCGAAUAUCGCGCCGGGGCUCCGUCGGGGUCCACUAAUUAUCCCGGAACUCCCCAACUCCAACUGGGAGUCAACCGCUGCCACUAAUACUCUAUAAUAACCCACAUUGGCAGCAAACACCACACUUCGCCUCGCAACAGACAUCGUUGACUAAACGUCUCGAACCGGGUUCCCGAAAGUGUCGUUUUUGACACCGGGACCCACCAGUCGCUCACCCGUCGUUUCUGAACCCCCGAAACGACACGGGUGACCUGCCAAGAAGGCUUAGCGACAUCACAACUGAUCCCGAGGCACCGUCGGAUAAAAACCGAACUAAGAUCGCGUUCCAUCGACGAAUUUCGCCGCGAAACGCCCCGAAAAAGGCUUUUCGAUCUCCGCAGUGGCUUGGGGCCUUGGACGGUUAGUCCAGAGGUUACCAUCAGCAUUUAUACGCUGUCCACAGCGACCGAGUCGAAGUUAUAUGCAAGGAAGCACAACAAGAACCCUAAAAUCUAUCAUUUUAUGCGAUUUCCGGCAGUUUUUAUGGCCCGAUCUUGCGAUACGAGGUUCGCUGGGUCAACCGUCGCACCCGCUGAUAGGUUUCAGCGUGCCGGAGACCGUGCUCACCAUUCGGAGCACAUUCGGCGACUGCGGUGCGCGCACAAGCGACGCGAAGGUCAGCGAAGCAGCGCGCACCGCAGGAAGAUCGCGGUUACCCGAGCAACCAAGGCAUCUCAGGGCUCAACGGAAGUGAGCACGAUGUUCAGCACGACCUAAGGAUCAUCGUGCUCACUUCCCGAGGUCAAAAAGACCAUUCGGGUUGCCGGAAAAGUACACACAACCCCCAAACAGUGCACGAAAAUAGCAAUACAAGCUUACCGGAGCUAGGCAGGGCUCGGGGUGGCCGGCGGCGGCCGGACAGCGGGCAGGCCGGCCAGGGGAAGGUGCUCCAGGUCAGAGGAGGCCGGGGCUCGCCAUGCACCAGUUCAAAGCUCCUGCUUUGAAGAAAAUUCCCCCCCUACUACAUUCCUGACUCUAAAAACUGUCACGUUGAUUUGAGAGACAACUGCUACAAAUACACACAUUAAAUUAAUGUAUUCGUGAGCAGUUCAAAGUCCUCUUUUACUCGAUUUUGCCUCUUCAAUGCGCUAAUAAUCAAAAGUGAAUUCACUUAUCAUUGAGGCCAAAAGGGCCCCUUCGGUGCCUCAUCUCAACCGAAGACCACGCAUAGCCUGAGGCAAGUAUAGUCAGGUUAUCGAGCAAAGCUGGCCAAGUCGACAAGACCUUGAUCACCGCGACUACCUAAAACUCAAACUGCUUGCCUAAAGCUCUUUUAGGUCUUUAUGUACGAAAUAUACAUAAACACACACACAAAGGAAGAUAACCUUCUUCCAACCUAAAAACAACACUUAGGCACCAGCUAGCUCUACUUAGCUUUCACAUCGAAACAACAGAGACUCCACGACUAGCGUGACCACGUUAGGCAAGCGUUUAGACUGCCUGCCUAGACGCCUCUAGCGCGCAACUAGCUCCUCUCCAGCCACUACCGUUUUGCCAUUAAAGCGUUUUCAACGAUGUAAAAUACAUGGCUUAGCGUACUCUAGUUUGCACCUCCACGCAUGUGCGCUAAAUGAGUACGACACUCCCUGACUCAACCUUUAUUGGUCAAGACCUCCUGAAACCACGUUUCGCCGUAAACCAUAUAUUACAGAAAUCCCAAAGAUACGUGCUUUGGGAUCAAAGCCGGCUGGAUCAGAAGGUCGAUACGGGAUCCAUCGAAGUCGUCCGAGAAUGGGAUCGGCACGAGCGCGAGGCUGACGGCCGCACGCUGAGGCCGGCGGCCUUUUCGGCCCAAACGAGAAGGAGGUGGAAGGAGAGGUAGAACGACGGAGAAAGGACCGGCACCUGGUGGGUCCUCACAGUAGAGCCAGCCCGUGGUGGAGACCGUCGCCGGGGCUGGAGGCGGCAGGGCGGCACGGCCGGCGGUGGCAGGGGUGCGCGGCGGCAGCGCCGGACCUUGCGGGACCGGCUCGGACUGGAUCUAGACCGGCUCGGACCAGGGCGUGGCGGAGGUACCCGGCGGCGGCCGAUACCUGAUGGAAAGGCGGAAAGGGCCGCAGCAGUGUCGGCCGGGGACGGCGAGGGCACGCGGCGGCCGCGGCGGAGACGAGGGACGCCGGUGGUGCCAGUCGGGUCUGGCUCGUGCCCACCCGAGCUCCGGGCGCGCGGCGGCGGUGAGGUCUAGCCGGCGCGGCAGAAAGGAGUGGGAGGCCGAUGGAGGCCGCGCGCAGGGGCCGGUAGGGCUGGUGGCGGCCGGCGGCGGGCUUCGAGGACAUCGGCGGGUCUGCGGUACGCCCGGCUCCGACUCAGAAGCACCGGAGGCGCGCAGCGGUGGCGGAUACCACCCCUCGUGGUGGAGGGGGAGCCGGAGGCGGCGGCCCAGCAGCGGCGGGGCUGGAACGAGGCCGGCGGCGGUACCGGUGGCGGUGGAGACCUCGGUGUAACUUGGGCUCGCCCGAGCCAAACCAGAUCGUGGCGGCGGCGGCAGAAGGCGGCGGCAGGCCGCACUCGUGGCCGAGGUGGAGCGGCCGGCGUGAGCGGGCGGCGGCCGCGGGGGUGGUGGCCUCGAGGGACAGUUGGCACCACUCGGAUACGAGAGGAUACCAACAUGUAGAUCCCGUAGUUACGGGCGGCAGCAGCGGCGGAGGGCAGCGGACAAUUGNNNNNNNNNNNNNNNNNNNNNNNNNNNNNNNNNNNNNNNNNNNNNNNNNNNNNNNNNNNNNNNNNNNNNNNNNNNNNNNNNNNNNNNNNNNNNNNNNNNNNNNNNNNNNNNNNNNNNNNNNNNNNNNNNNNNNNNNNNNNNNNNNNNNNNNNNNNNNNNNNNNNNNNNNNNNNNNNNNNNNNNNNNNNNNNNNNNNNNNNNNNNNNNNNNNNNNNNNNNNNNNNNNNNNNNNNNNNNNNNNNNNNNNNNNNNNNNNNNNNNNNNNNNNNNNNNNNNNNNNNNNNNNNNNNNNNNNNNNNNNNNNNNNNNNNNNNNNNNNNNNNNNNNNNNNNNNNNNNNNNNNNNNNNNNNNNNNNNNNNNNNNNNNNNNNNNNNNNNNNNNNNNNNNNNNNNNNNNNNNNNNNNNNNNNNNNNNNNNNNNNNNNNNNNNNNNNNNNNNNNNNNNNNNNNNNNNNNNNNNNNNNNNNNNNNNNNNNNNNNNNNNNNNNNNNNNNNNNNNNNNNNNNNNNNNNNNNNNNNNNNNNNNNNNNNNNNNNNNNNNNNNNNNNNNNNNNNNNNNNNNNNNNNNNNNNNNNNNNNNNNNNNNNNNNNNNNNNNNNNNNNNNNNNNNNNNNNNNNNNNNNNNNNNNNNNNNNNNNNNNNNNNNNNNNNNNNNNNNNNNNNNNNNNNNNNNNNNNNNNNNNNNNNNNNNNNNNNNNNNNNNNNNNNNNNNNNNNNNNNNNNNNNNNNNNNNNNNNNNNNNNNNNNNNNNNNNNNNNNNNNNNNNNNNNNNNNNNNNNNNNNNNNNNNNNNNNNNNNNNNNNNNNNNNNNNNNNNNNNNNNNNNNNNNNNNNNNNNNNNNNNNNNNNNNNNNNNNNNNNNNNNNNNNNNNNNNNNNNNNNNNNNNNNNNNNNNNNNNNNNNNNNNNNNNNNNNNNNNNNNNNNNNNNNNNNNNNNNNNNNNNNNNNNNNNNNNNNNNNNNNNNNNNNNNNNNNNNNNNNNNNNNNNNNNNNNNNNNNNNNNNNNNNNNNNNNNNNNNNNNNNNNNNNNNNNNNNNNNNNNNNNNNNNNNNNNNNNNNNNNNNNNNNNNNNNNNNNNNNNNNNNNNNNNNNNNNNNNNNNNNNNNNNNNNNNNNNNNNNNNNNNNNNNNNNNNNNNNNNNNNNNNNNNNNNNNNNNNNNNNNNNNNNNNNNNNNNNNNNNNNNNNNNNNNNNNNNNNNNNNNNNNNNNNNNNNNNNNNNNNNNNNNNNNNNNNNNNNNNNNNNNNNNNNNNNNNNNNNNNNNNNNNNNNNNNNNNNNNNNNNNNNNNNNNNNNNNNNNNNNNNNNNNNNNNNNNNNNNNNNNNNNNNNNNNNNNNNNNNNNNNNNNNNNNNNNNNNNNNNNNNNNNNNNNNNNNNNNNNNNNNNNNNNNNNNNNNNNNNNNNNNNNNNNNNNNNNNNNNNNNNNNNNNNNNNNNNNNNNNNNNNNNNNNNNNNNNNNNNNNNNNNNNNNNNNNNNNNNNNNNNNNNNNNNNNNNNNNNNNNNNNNNNNNNNNNNNNNNNNNNNNNNNNNNNNNNNNNNNNNNNNNNNNNNNNNNNNNNNNNNNNNNNNNNNNNNNNNNNNNNNNNNNNNNNNNNNNNNNNNNNNNNNNNNNNNNNNNNNNNNNNNNNNNNNNNNNNNNNNNNNNNNNNNNNNNNNNNNNNNNNNNNNNNNNNNNNNNNNNNNNNNNNNNNNNNNNNNNNNNNNNNNNNNNNNNNNNNNNNNNNNNNNNNNNNNNNNNNNNNNNNNNNNNNNNNNNNNNNNNNNNNNNNNNNNNNNNNNNNNNNNNNNNNNNNNNNNNNNNNNNNNNNNNNNNNNNNNNNNNNNNNNNNNNNNNNNNNNNNNNNNNNNNNNNAAAGCAUGAAGCCAAAAGCGUGUUCGACCACAGAUUCAGCCCUCAUCACCGCCACGUGAAAAAGAAGUAACCCUGCACCUCGAGUUUACCAAACUCGAAUACACACCGGGACACAAGCCCAAACCCCGCACUCACGUGCCUAUACACCGUAGGUCUUCCUAUAGGUCAACCUAACCAAUGGUAUCAGAGCAAAAGGUUACAACCACAACACCAUUCACAGGACCCCUGGGAAGUUGGGGCGUCACACUUUUGUUCAAUUUUCAUUUCCAAGUUUCUGCAUUUCCUGAUUUUUUUUCUUAUUUACUUGGUUUCAUUUAUCCAUUACUAUUUUUCCCCCCUUUUUCUAUUCUUCUUUAAGGCUAUGAUGAUAUGUAGAGAGAAAUGUGGAAAAUGUUGCUUUUGAAUGGGUGGAAGUUUGGACGGCCUACUCAGGCAACCGCUUCUGCCUUUUCUUAUUCUUAGUAUUUACACACAUUUCCCUCCAACGGUAAUCUACCACUCCCGUUGCACAUAUUUACUUCCCACAAUAGCUUACUUUUCCUGCUACUACUCAGUGCUUAUGAGUGGUGUUGCCGAACCUCCUUAACUGAGCCUUAUUUUUUUAUACAUUUUUUUCAGAUUGUUUGAAUUGUUUCUUUUGUCAUUACUUACUUUGGUUUAGCAUGUGCCUAUGGAGGUAAAAAAACAUAUGUUUUCAGUUGGAUCGAUUUUAUCCUGUAGGGACUCUUCUGAGCGUGUAUAUUAUUAGUAGAUUUGUUUUCCCUCUUUAAAUACACAGUAUAGUUGUUUAACAAAAACACUAUAUAUAGAGAUGUUUACUUGGUGAUGUUCUGUGUUGCCUACAAAUUUUCUCGGACAAAUAGAACAUGCGGACUAUAUAUCAGACCUAAUGAUGACAAGCGCUUUGCGUCAAAUUUCUUUUAUGCUCUUCUCUAUCAGUAUCUGUUCUCUGAUCACUGUCAGUUUACAUCCGCAUAUUUUGUUUUGUAAUUUUUUCUGUUUACUUUAAAGCUUGGGACUUCUUGCAUAUUGAGAUUCACACUAAUAUUACUUGGUUUCAUUUAUCCCUUGUUGUUUUUCCCCGAUGUUUCUAUUCUUCAACUAAAGGUAAGUGUGGAAAAUGCUGGUUGCAAAUGGUUGGAAGUUUGGAUGGCCUGCUCAAAGGCAACCGCUUCUAACUGUUCUUAUUCUUAGUAGUUGCACACAGUUUUCCUCCAAUGAUAAUCUACUAUUCGGUGACCACUUCUAUCUGCUCUUAUCCCUGGUCAUUGCACAUAUUUACUGCCUGCAGUAAUCUGCUGAUUUUAUUGCUACCCUGUGCUUAUGGGCGGUUUUGGCGAAUCUACUUAAGUGAGCCUUACUUUUCCUUGCAUUUUUUUAAACUUGUUUGUGCUGUUCCCUUUGUUACUCAACCCCCCCCCCCCCCCCCCUCGCCCGUUUUUCAUGCGGCAUUAUAUUAUAAUUUAUACAAUUAUUUGGCCUGAUUCUUCCUUACCUACUUCUUAGGCGAACUUUCUAUGUGACGAAUCCUACGAAUCUACCAGCUAAAAAAAAUGUCCAAAAUCUUUUGUGAAAUUUCAGCAUAUAAUGAUUUGGGUGGUUACUUGAUGUCUGAACUGCUACAAUGUAUGCAGACCAUCAGAAUUUAUGUUAAAUGUGGUGCAUGUUAAUGGUCUCCGUUGCUUCGGUAUAUUGUUAUUUUACGAACAUUGCUUUGUUUCAUUUAUUCCUUACUGUCUCUUGCUAAUUUUCUUGCUCUUCUUUAAAGCUAUGAUGAUAGGUAGAGGGAAGUGCCGCAAAUAUUGGCUUCGAACGAGUUGCUGUUUGGACAGAGUGGAAGUUUGGAUGGCCUACUCAUAGGCAACCGCUUUCUCCUAUUGUGGCCUUUAGCGAUUGUGCACAUUUCUCUUCAAUGGUAAUCUACUGCUCAGCAACUAUUUCCUACCAUUCUUACUUUUUUUGUUGUCUCAUUUUUUAUUUUCUUGCUCUUCUUUAAAGCUAUGAUGCUAGGUAUAGGGGAGUGCCGCAAAUAUUUACUUCGAACAAGUUGCGGUUUGGACAGAGUGGAAGUUUGGAUGGUCUACUCAUAGGCAACCACUUCCUCCUAUUGUGGCCCUUAGCGAUUGCACACAUUUCUCUUCAAUGGUAAUCAACUGUUCUGCAACUAUUUCCUACCAUUCUUACUUUAGCCCCCGCAGCCACAUAGAACCAACAGCAAAAUGAACGGCCUUGAAUUACAAGAGCUCAUUAGCUUAUAAUACCGAAAAAAAAAAAAAAGGAAUAUUUCAUAUUUGAUGAAAAUCCGGUCCAAAUUAAGUUGUUUGAUGUAGCAAUAUUUAAUGGUUAAUUACUUGAAGAAGGCACUCUAGCCUCUCUUACACAGUUACACUAAUAAAUUAUAAAUUCUGAAUCCGAUAUUCUAAGAAUAUCUCAUUCCCUCAAAACGAGGGAAGUGUGGGAAAUGUUACUUUUGAAUGGAUGGAAAUUUGGCCGGCAUCCUCAUAGGCAACCGCUCCUUACUGUUCUUGCUCUUAGUAGUUACACACCUUUGCCUCCGCUGGUAAUCUACUACUCGGUAGUCACUUCUUGCUGUUAAUAUUCCUGAGCAUUGCACGUGUUGCCUCCACUGGUAAUGUACUACUCGGUGGUCACUUCUUGCUGUUCUGAUUCUUGCUUUGGGCUGAAUCAAGAGUUUUGGUUUUUUUUCUUUCUUUGGUAAACGCUCUACCUACUAAGAUUACUACUGGGAAAAAAAAAGUAUGUACAAAAACAAUGUCACGCCCCGGGGUCCCUCUCAGUUUAAAAGAUAGCGAAAAAGCGUCUGAAUUUUUUUUUAAAAAAAAAACCUGACCCCAGAGUAUGCCAGAUCCGCCACAAAUACAGGGAAUCCACUGUGCACACGGACAGAGUCUCCCCUGUAUUUGCACGGCGUCGCACAAGUACAAGAAGUAACCCAGGUACACCCACAACCAAAUGAAUAUACAAAUAACCAACAAUUAUAUAUUCAUACACCAUUCACAUCACAGGUUCACAUUUAUAUAUUCAAUAAUUAAACAUAAAUCCACAUCUAUCAGUUAAAAUGUUUCCAACCACAGAAACAGAUUUUGAAAUACUAAGAUACAAAAUCCACAGAAAACCUUUUGAAAAUUGUUCCCUACAUAGGAACUUUUGUCUUUUAAAAACGCUACCACGAGGGGUAGAAAACCUUUUAUUUUACAAAAUCCAGAAAUUCUUUUAUUUUAACGUAAUGAAAUACUGAACCACAUAAACCAACUAAACUAUACAUCAACAGAAAUAAUAGGGGUAAUAACUAAACCAAAAUAACCUGAGUCGGAAGCUCUAUCGAUCACUACGUAUCUCACGUCUCGUCUCAACCCUCACCGCCCAUGAUACCUGAAAAAUAGUGGGGGAGGUGAGAACAUGUAAACAUGUCUCCCCUCCCAGUGGGUACCGCAAGCCGAAGAAGGCGAGGAGUACUCACCGGAUCAGGAAGAGCUAUACAACAACACUGGUCAGUAGAAAUAUAGUAGCAACAAUAAUAAACGAAAGAGAUAUGUAAGGUAAUCAAUAGAUAUACCGAAUACAGUAGCAAUAAACUGAAAGAAAGUAAGAACUAGACUGAAAAACGGCUACGGCUACUGUAACUGGAACUUCAUGCAAUAUCCGGCAAUUCGUUCAUCGGAUUUCCGAACGGAUUGCACCAUCGCGUUCAGCACGAUGAAGGCAAUGAAACUACGAUUUCGUUUCAUCCGAUUUACUUGCCGAUUUGCGACCAAACCCAUCUGUUCUCCAACUAAUCCACAAAUUACACAUAGACCUAUGUAUAAACCCUAAAACCUUUAAUCCAAAUUCAAAUUUGAAUUCCCUACCACCAGUAGGUACCAGAAACAACUCUCACCUAACCCCAGGUCACAAACAUAGUGUAACCCCCGAGGUUUCGAAAGAAAUUAUCAAACUUUAGUUAAAACGAUUAAAGUAUGCGAAGAAGAUGGAUGGACAAGUCCCAAUUAACAUUCCAUUACUGUUGGAAGGGUUUUGGCAUCGAACGACGCGAAAUAGGAUCGAAACGGAGCCAAAAUCAACAUUCUGGAUGUCUUGUACCGGUACAAGACCAAUGGUUGUACCGGUACAACCAGCGAAGUUCAAGGCUUGGAGCUGCCAGGCCUUGUACCGGAACAAGGAUUCUUGUACCGGUACAAGACCUGCGAAACCGAGAAACCGAGCUCUCGGUUUGGCUGUCUGCCAGGCCUUGUACCGGUAUAAGAAACCGUGUACCGGUACAAGGAGCCCGAAACUGCAGGUUGAGUUGCAGAUUUUGGAAAAACUGAGGGGCCUUUUGGGAUAUUGUUACAAUACAUGUGAGAGGGUAUUAGAGAGGGCUUUUUCACUCUCUCUCCCACUCCUACAGCCCCCUCUCUCUCCCUCUGUUCGUGCCCAACCGAAGGGAGAAGAAAGAAAGAAAGAAAAGAGAGAAAAGAGAAAGAGAAGAAGAAAAAGAGAAGAAGAAGUUGGAGAAGAUGGAGAAGAAGAUCUAGAAGGAGAUCUUCAUCCUCUCCUUCAUCUUCCUUGAGCCAUUAGAGCUCUUUUGGAGGUAAGCUCUAAUCCUAAAAUUGCAUUUCUAGGGUUUAGAGUUUUUGGUUGCUUUUGAGUGGUUCAAAUGGAACCCAUUUGAGUUGGAGAAGAUGGUUCUAGCUCAUAUUGAAGCUUUGAACCAUGGAUUGCACCAUUGAUGCAAACCUAGGGUUAGAGUUUGGGUUUUAAACCCUAGAUCUUUGAUUUUGAUCUCCCUACAAGCUUUAGAACCUUGUAGGAACCUAGAACACAUGAAAUCCAUGUUGUUCUUCGUAGUGCUCUAAUGGUGGAAUCCUAGGGUUUGUUCUAAAUGCCCUAGGGAUGAUUCUAAUGAGAUGGAAACAAGUUUAGAGAGCUUCUUGGGUGAUUCUAAGCUUGAUUAUGCUUAGCAACAAGAUCAAUCCCAAGAAAUCUCAUUAUUGCAUUGUUAGGGCACCGAAAUUGGGGCUUUUGCCUCCGGGUGUUUCUAAGGCAAAUUGGCCUUGUAGAAACCUAAUUGGGGACCUAACGAACGCGUUGGUGCGCUCGGUUCGGCAAUCCGACGACCGUACGCGAAGUUAUUGACGAAACAAUCGGUUUUGGUACAGAUGGCCGCAGCACGCGGAAUAAAGGUCUAAAAUCAUGAGAUUGGAACCGGAGCACCUUGGAGUCAAGGAAUAACUUCCGGAAAAGACGGAUCGCGAUUUGGAGGUCGUUCGCUAAGUCGCGCAAGAGUUCGGGCCAAACCGGGCAACGGUUGCCGCGGGAGGCCGAUUGCAAGUGUCGACGAGCAAUCGGAACGCGUGUUAAGGUGGGUUGGUUUACCGAAGCGACUAGGUCGCCUUUAUGUCUAAUUAUUAGACUUUCAUGUUGAUGCAUGUUGAUGAUCGGUAUAGUUGAUGCUAAGUAGAAAUGCAUAAUAUGAUGUAGAUGCUAAAGUUGAUGCAUAUAAAUGUAAAUGAUGCAUGUAGCUAAAUAAUGCAUGAUGAUAGUGUGAUGUAAUUGCUAAAUAGAAUGCAUUAUGAGCAUGUUGAAUAAAGCUAGAUAAUUAUGUGAAUGCAUGUAAGCAUAAUGCAUAGAAUGAAAUGCAUAUUGAUGAUAUAAGUUAAAAUGAGAUAUAGAAUGAUUAAAGUAAAUGAUGCUAUGCUAAAGUAUAAUUGAUGAGCAUGAUCUGAAAAUAGUACAUACAAGUACAUGGUAAGAAUGCUAAGAAAAGGACAAGAGUAGGUGGACAUAAAUAAACCUAUAGAUCGAGUGGCAUUAAACCUAGUGUCAAGGACAUAGGUUAAAUAAAUGAGAUGUUGAACCUAAUGUAAAGAACAUAGGUUAAAUAAGAGUGAUGUUAAACCUAAUGUAAAGAACAUAGGUUGUGAAAUGAAAGCUGCUUAACCUAGAGUUAAGUGAACCUAAGUUGGAAAAGAAUGAUGAUCCUAGUGUAAUAAACCUAGGCCAAGAGUGUGAAAGCAAUAAACCUAAAGUAAUAACUUAGGUUGUGUAAAGGAUGUUGAACCUAGAGUCAAUUGGACCUAGGAGAUAAAUGCUUAGACCUAGAGAGGUCAGUUCCAUAGGGUUAAGACCAACCCUUGGUUGAUGUGAUAUGGAUUCCNCGUCAGUGCCAUUGGUUCCAGAAUAGCUGAACCGAUCAAAACGAGCUAUUGGAUCGCUAUGAACGGAGUCCGAUACGCGCCGAAAGCUAACUCUACUCCGUGCCUUCAUCGAAAAACCGGGUUACUAUUCACUUUAAGUGAAAACUAAUAAUCGCGUAACUUCUCCAUUCUAGCUUAUUUUCUCCUGAAACUUGACGAGUGCUUAUGUAACUAAAUUACACACAUAAACAUCAUCAACAGAGAGUUUAUUUGCACUGUAAAAAUCUCAGUUCUUACAAACAAGCAUGUAACAAUUAUGUGAAUUUACAUUGGUUCUAGCAUUUUCUUAAUUGACAAUACGAACUUAUUUGAGUGGACGUAAGAAUCAAUCUUCUUUAAUUCUUGAUUUUGUUACUAGCAGAUUAGAUAAAACUUGAAGCCUCCAUCUGUCACUUCAAACUAUGUUAAUUGGAGCUUUCUGUACUUUGGUUGCUACAGCUAAUCUGAUGAUUGUGCUUUCUAUGAUGGUGAUUUUGAGACAGCUAUUUUCUAACCAUUCCUUUUGGGAAGUCUGCAGAUUAAGUUCUUUGUCCACCAACUAGGAUUUGAAAUUGCUUUUAAUCUCUAUCAGCAUGUGAUUUUGUACUUUUGCUUCAUAAAGAAUUUCGUUUUAGAUGAUAGCUUGAGUUCUGCUACAUCCAUCCCACAAAAUUCUUGCAAAUUUUUGCUCUACGAAAGAUGAUUCGUAUAGGUUAUAAUGAUUUAAACUUACAUAACUGAUGUUUUGACUAAAUUUUCAAUCUGCAUAUUCUUUUGACGAUUCUUUGGAUUUUAUUUUUUAUUCAUUUAUCAUGGUCUAUUAUAGUAUUUUCAUUGAGCAUAAUAGAACCAUCUUGAAAAUUUUGUUUUCCUGCUAAAAAUUUAUUCCCUGUUUUGUUGAAGAAUAUUUUCCUUCCUGUUUCUUUCUUUUUUCUAGCUCUUCUUUGAGACGAUGAUGAUAAGUUGAGAGAAGUGCGUAAAAUAUUUGCUUCGAACAAGUUGAGGUUUGGACGGCCUGCUCAUAGGCAACUGCUUCAUAUUGUCUUAGCCUUGGUGGUCGCGCGCAUUUCCCUCUAACGGUAAUUUAUUACUCGGCAACCACAAAUGUGUGGAAAAUGUUUACUUUGAACAAGUGGAAGUUUGGAUGGCCUACUCAUAGGCAACCGCUUCAUAUUGUCUUACCCUUGCUGAUUGCACACAUUUUCCUACAGUGGUAAUUUAUUGCUCAGGAACCGCUUCCUACCAUUCUUAUCCUUGGCGGUUGCGCACAUUUCCCUCGUACGGUAAUCUAUUGCUCCUACUACUGCCCUAUACUUAUGACCAAUCUUGCCGAGUGCUUAUGAACAAUGUUGCCGAUUCUACUUAACUGAGCCUUACCUUUUUGUUCCCUUUUUGGGUGAUUCUUUAAAUUGAUUUUACAGCAGAAUUUAUACAACUGUUUGGAUUGUUCCCUGCUCAUUGCCUUUUUAAAUACUUUUCUUCGUUUGUCUGUCGGCAUUUGAAUUGAAUUCUUCCUCGGAUUUUUUUUGCAUGCAUAUUCUUUUGGCGAUUCUUUGGAUUAUAUUUUUUCAUUCAUUCAGCAUAGUCUAUUAUAGUAUUUUCAUUUCCUGCUUUUUUGAAGAAUAUUUUUCCUACUGUCACUUUCUAUUUUCUGGUUCUUUUGUGAGGCGUUGAUGGCAAGCUGAGGAAAGCAUAGAAAAUAUUUGCUUCGAACAAUGAUUUCCCAAAGAACUCUUUCUUGUCAUUUCCGUGUACACUAUCUGCUACGAUUUCUAGCUAUUAUGAUGAUUUAUAGGUGGUAUGCAUUUAUUUACGCUUUUUUGCGUUCCAGAACGUAAGGCCUUCCUUUUUUUGUGUGUGUGUAUGGGAUUGUGCUGUUCUAAUGCAAUUGUGUAUAGAAAAUUUGUGCCUUAUCAUAUGUCAGUGUAAAGUUGCAUAAAUUAGAUCAAACUGGAAUUCAUGCAUGAAUAAUUGCAAUUUUAAUUCACUUUAGAGAAAGAAUUUGGGUUUAAUUUAGAUUCUUUUUUCAAAUUUCUUUUAUAGAGUAUGAGCACGGGAACAAAAUCUUCAAGACGGUUCUAUUCUACUCAAUAAAAAAACUAUAAUAGACCAUGACAAAUGAAAAAAGAAACAGAAUCCAAAGAAUCCUCAAAAGAAUAUGCAGACUGGAAAAAUAGCCAACAGGAUCCUCAAAUAUGAAUCAUCUUUCCUAUUGUUCUAUAGCUUAGCCUCAUUAUAAUCUAUAUGAAUCACCUUUCUUAGAGCACACCUUACGAAAUAUAGUUUUUAUUUACCCCGUAUAUUUACUACUGUUGAGCCCACAUCAUAUCCCUAACUUUUUAAAUUACACUGAGCAUAUUAUAUAUUAUACAAAUUUGUUAGCAUCAAAAUGGUGCUCCUAUAGUGAUUCCCAAUAUAGUGCAUUUGGUUUUGCAGAAGAAAUGUAUAUUACGUCUUCCCUUUGUGCAAAUCUUGAAGGAAUUGUUCAGGGAACAUAUGCAUCUGAAAAACAAAAACAUAUACAUCUGGAAAACAAAAACUUAAUCUGUGUUUGAUCUAGAAAAUUAGAUCUGCAAUCCUGCAACGGAUAAAUUUGGUUUUGCAGUAGCAAAAUAUAUUAGCCCUAUAAAGUUGAUUGGCCUGUAUAUUUGACGGCUAAAAAAAAAUAAUUGUAAUUAUGUACCUCCCUUUUUUAUGGUUUUUAAUUUGUAUAACUGUCAAAAUAAUAAUCCCAUAGUGAUUCCCAAUGUAAUGCAUUUGGUGUUGCUGAUGACAAAUAUAUUAGGUCUUUCCUGUGUUUAAAUUUUUUAGGAUUUGUUCCUGCAAUUAUUUAGCUUUNGGGAACAAAAUCUUCAAGACGGUUCUAUUCUACUCAAUAAAAAAACUAUAAUAGACCAUGACAAAUGAAAAAAGAAACAGAAUCCAAAGAAUCCUCAAAAGAAUAUGCAGACUGGAAAAAUAGCCAACAGGAUCCUCAAAUAUGAAUCAUCUUUCCUAUUGUUCUAUAGCUUAGCCUCAUUAUAAUCUAUAUGAAUCACCUUUCUUAGAGCACACCUUACGAAAUAUAGUUUUUAUUUACCCCGUAUAUUUACUACUGUUGAGCCCACAUCAUAUCCCUAACUUUUUAAAUUACACUGAGCAUAUUAUAUAUUAUACAAAUUUGUUAGCAUCAAAAUGGUGCUCCUAUAGUGAUUCCCAAUAUAGUGCAUUUGGUUUUGCAGAAGAAAUGUAUAUUACGUCUUCCCUUUGUGCAAAUCUUGAAGGAAUUGUUCAGGGAACAUAUGCAUCUGAAAAACAAAAACAUAUACAUCUGGAAAACAAAAACUUAAUCUGUGUUUGAUCUAGAAAAUUAGAUCUGCAAUCCUGCAACGGAUAAAUUUGGUUUUGCAGUAGCAAAAUAUAUUAGCCCUAUAAAGUUGAUUGGCCUGUAUAUUUGACGGCUAAAAAAAAAUAAUUGUAAUUAUGUACCUCCCUUUUUUAUGGUUUUUAAUUUGUAUAACUGUCAAAAUAAUAAUCCCAUAGUGAUUCCCAAUGUAAUGCAUUUGGUGUUGCUGAUGACAAAUAUAUUAGGUCUUUCCUGUGUUUAAAUUUUUUAGGAUUUGUUCCUGCAAUUAUUUAGCUUUACUUUGUGAUGGCUUAUUAUAAUUUGUAUACAUGUUUUCAAAUUAUUUUGUAAAUGCCCUCAAUAGUUCCUGCAAUAAAAACCUGUAGUGGGUAGUUUUUAUUUUGCAGCAAAAAGAUAACAUAAAGCCUCUAUCUUUUGUGAAAUAGUAUCUAAUAUUACUGCCUAAAUGAACUAGGGGAAUCUCCUAAUUUGUAUGCUUGAAGUCUGAAAAGUUUUUUUGGACAGCAUGCAAUUUGUUGUCCAUCCGUAUAUUUGCUAAAGUUGAGCCAGCAUCAUAUCCCUAACUUUUUAAAUUACAUUGAACAUAUUAUAUAUAAUACAUACAUAUUAUAUAUUAUACAUAUUUGUUUUCGUCAAAAUGACGUUCCUAUAGUGAUUCCCAAUGUAGUGCAUUUGGUUUUGCAGAAGAAAGGUAUAUUAUGUCUUUCCUUUGUGCAAAUCUUUAAGGAAUUGUUUAGAAAACAUAUACAUCUGGGGAAAAAAAAACUCAACCUGCAUUUGAUCUAGAAAAUUAAAUCUGUAAUCCUGCAAUGGAUAAAUUUGGUUUCGCAUUUGAAAAAUAUAUUAGCCCUAUAAAAUUUACAUAAAUUGAUGCAGAAACAAAUAUAGUUUGUAAUUAUUUACCUCCAUUUUUUGAUGGUUUGUCAUUUGUAUAACUAUCAAAUUGAUAAUCCCAUAGUUAUUACCAAUGUAAUGCAUUUGGUGUUGCAGAUGAAAGAUAUAUUAGGUAUUCCCUGUGUUUAAAUCUUUCAGGAUUUGUUCCUGCAAUUAUUUAACUUUAUUUUGUGACGGCUUAUUAUAAUUUGUAUAAAUUUUUUCAUAUUAUUUUGUAAAUGCCCUCAAAAGUUCCUGCAAUAAAAACCUAUAGUGGAUAGUUUUUACUUUGCAGCAAAAAGAUAUAUUAGACAUUCACUGUGUAUAAAACUUACAAAAAAUGAUGCAGAAGGAAAUGUAUCCGGAAAAAUUAUUGCCCUGUAUGUUUGCUAGCUAAAAAUUAAAAUUUGCAAUUAUUAACCUCCAUUUUUUUAUGGUUUACUAUAAUUUAUAUAAUAUGUUCCCUACUAUUUUAUAUAUACGCGUAACAGUUUCUUAAAUAAUAGCUUAUAUUAGUGAAAAUCAUAUAUUGAAUAUUACUCUUUUGUUUUCCCCUCUUUUUUAAGUGGAUAUUUAUGGAAAUUGCGCCCACAUUUUCUUAGGUCCUUCCUGGAGAUUGCGUAUUUAAUAUUAACAUUUUGGUUUUUGUUCCUUUCCAAGUAUAUAUUGAUAGAUUUCAUUGACAUAUUUGUUGUGCCUUUGUAUAAAUCUCAAUAUUAGUUGAGAUCAUGUACUGCAUAGCGCAAUCAAGGAAAAAAAACAUAAGUAAAAAAGGGUGAAACUAUUAAAUCUUGUCGAAUGACUGCUCAGUACGUUUGUACUCUGUAAAUUUAAAUAUCCAAUUAUUUAGCUUACAAUUGUUUAACUUGGGCUCUAAAAAUUAAUAGCUAUUUCCAAUGUAAUAUAUUUUCUUUUCCAAAAAGAUAUACUUUUUAGAUUCUAAUUUAUUAUAGAAAAAGAAAAUCACCAAGAAUUCAUCCAAAUGUAAAAAAAAAUUCGAUAUAUACGUUUGUUUCGAAUAACUGCUCAGUGCGUUUGUACUCUGUAGAUUUAAAUAUCCAAUUAUGUACCUUGCAAUUGUUUAACUUGGUCUCUAAAAAUUAAUAACUAUUUCCAAUGUAAUAUAUUUUUUUUUCAAAAAGAUAUACUUUUUAUAUUCUAAUUUAUUAUAGAAAAAUAAAAUCAUCAAGAAUUCAUUCAAAUGUAAAAAAAAAGUUAGAUAUAUACGUUUGUGUGAGAAUCUGUAGAGUACCUUACUAAUACUUUCUAUGUUAUAGCUUUUCUUUGGAGCAGAAGAAAACAUUGGAUUCAUACAAGCCGAAGUUUAGUUAGCUUCUUUUUCGGGAAUUAUUUAAUAUAUAUUGUUUUGCCUUUGGUGGUUGGACACGUUUACCUCCAGUAAAAAACUAUUGGUCGACAGCCUCUUCCAGCUAUUCCUAUUCUUCGUGGUUCAAUUCGUACCCCACUUACGGUAAUUUCUAUACGUUACAUUUUGCAUAGCUUUGUCUAGCUUUUUUUUACCCCGUGAAUCGUCAUAUGAAAAUUUAUAUAGCUCUUUUAUUUGGUUUGCCUUCUUAGUCUGGUAAGUUUUUCCCAUUAACCCUUACAUUUGAAAUAAAUUAUUUUAUCUGCUUUUUUAUACCAUUAUUUGGUCAAAUUCUUAUUUGCAAAUGCAUAAAAAUGAGCUGUAAAAUAUUUAAAAUAACCAACUUAGCAGUUUGUUUUUCCCAAACCUCCACAGCAGUGAUUUCCGGGCAUAAUUUCAUGGAUGUUGCCUCGAGCAGUCAAGAAAAUAGAAAACGUCGGAAGAUUAUUCUUGCUCGACAAAGAGAUAAAGGGCUGGCUCAAUCUACUGAAUAUAUGCAUCAAGUUAGUAGAAAUACAGACAUUAUCAAUGUUGGGAGGACACCAGAACCUCCUAAUAUCCCGUCGCAUCUCGCUAACCAAUUGCAUCUUGGAUUCCAAAAUUUUGAAUGUCAAUCGUGCAGAGCUUUGCUAUGGUAUAAUGAGAGAAUUUAUAAAUCUCGGAACGAACGUACCCCGAGAUUUUCACUAUGCUGCCAAGAAGGCCGAGUAUAUUUGCCAUUACUGUCUGAAACACCACAUUUAUUAGAAAGAUUAUUAAGAUGUGAAGGCAGCAGUGAAACCCGAAAAUUUAGAGAAAAUAUUAGAGUAUACAACUCUCUUUUUGCAUUUACCUCAAUAGGUGCAAAAAUAGAUACAGAAAUUAAUAAGAGAUCGGGUCCGUAUGUUUUUAGGAUCAAUGGACAGAAUCAUCACAUAAUGGGCUCUCUCCUACCAAUUGAUGGCCAUCGUCCGAAAUUUGCCCAGCUUUAUAUUUACGAUCAAUACCAGGAAAUGGAGGUUUUAACCCCCAAUAGAUACAGCACUCUGGAUUGCCAAAAAUGAAAUCACUUCGAGACAUUGAUAAGAAGUCUUAUGUCGCAGAGUUGACUAGAAAUGUUUCUGAGUAAAUCCAUCACAAUGAAAUUGUUAAAGAGCAUUUAGGGAUGGGCAAGGGAGAUCGUCCUUUAUAAACACUCACCGGAAUUUUUUUACGUCUGAAGAUGCGAUUUGAUUGGGGUGCAACGCUAGUCUUGACACUUUGGAACAAUAGAGACCAUCCCUUUCAUGCCGCUGAAAUUGCUGGUUUGACGUAAGUUGGUGAUUCUGGGGCUUAGCGUGGCAUCAGGGCAACCGUGAAUGAAUUCAUGUUCUUCGACCAUAAAAUCAGACAGGCUUUAAAGCGUAUUAAGUACCUUUACACAUCCCCUUCUUUUACAUGGCUACUGGCAACUAUCCCCAUUUGUUCCCCCUAUGGUGGAAAGAUCGUUUUAGACUGCUGGGUAUCCAAUGCUAGCCCGACACUCAGGGCAAGAAGACUAACCUCUAGGGCCAACCUACCGAUCGCUGAAUCUUGCGUACCUAUUUCAAAUAGAUUAAGAAGAGGCCAAAUCAUAAUACGAGGGCAAACCUUUCAGCAAUAUAUUCUCCGGGUUGAUGCAUUUUUUUCCUUUGUGUUUAGCAGAAAGACCCCUACAUAAUAUCCAGCAAGAAUCCCAAGGGGGGGAACUUAAGAGGUCUGAAAGUACUGCAUCUCACACGGUACUUCAGACGACGUGCGUUUUUGAGAGAUACCUAGAUGGUGCAUGCUACAAACUUCGGCAACGAUUGUACUCCCUCAAGUCUUUUAACUACCUGGCACCCCCGAUCCCCACAUCUUACGAAAUCACCCAGAUUAUCCCAAGAUCCUAGCCUUGCAUGAUCUGCAGCAUCUGUCGGCCAUCCUGAUUUUCUGUUCAUGUGACCCGCUCUCCGCGUACUGAAUGCCCACAAUGGUGAGAUCCGAGGCUGCCCCUUUCAGAGAUUAUUACCCGCGCCAACAGGCUGAAUAUGCCGACAUUGUGUUUCAGUAGAAUUUUUAAAGACUGAAACGUUAGACGCCUUAGCGACAUGAGGAGGGGAUAUCAACAACCGGUCGAUAUGCGUUGCGGGGAGGGCGUGGCCCAGCGUUUGCUGGAGGCUACACGUCAAUCUGCUAAACUGUGCUCGUUAGUCCUGCGGCGCCGCCGCGCCCCGCUUCGGCUUCUCUAUUCUUUUUUUUCUUGCCGCAAAUCGUUCAUGCUGCUACACUGUAUGUCUCUUUGUCACUAGUCGUCCAUCUCGCUGCUUCUUCUCGCACAGGAGCUUGUAAUACCCUGUGGGAGUUUUCCCAAAAAAAAGGGCGCCCGGGCUUAUCCGCUCAUGGUUGCAAAUGUUUAACUAUCGGGGUGUGCACGGGGCAGAACCAUCAGAAUAUGUUUGACACCCACCGCAGCCAGAGAACUAAAAGCUGGAGAUUAAUCCUUGUUCGGCCUGCGGAAACUUACCGUAUCAAGUUAAUGAAUCAGGUCCCGGCACAGUAUGAGGCAGCUAGUUGCAAAAUUGUAUUGGGUGCCCUGGUCAUCGUGGGGAGCUGCCAUGUUGCUAGACCGCAACUCCGCCGCAUGGGUAUGAUAGAAGGUGGCUGCCCCCGCUUGCUGCCAAAGACCUAUUGUUGCCCAAAAGAAGUAUAAAUACAUGGGAAAACAGUCCAUCACCUGAUCGGGACUAGGACGGCCUAUUUUGUAACCUACGCCAGCGGAGAAAAUUCCAAGAUCUGGUUUUCUUCUUUCUCUUUUUUUGUUUGCGGCUCGUGCUAACAAGAGCCCCUGGUAUGGGAAUUGUAACAGCGAUUGUCUGCAGAAGCGCCUGUACAAACUUGAAGCAAUUCAAUCAAUCAAUCUCGGCUGCUAUUANNNNNNNNNNNNNNNNNNNNNNNNNNNNNNNNNNNNNNNNNNNNNNNNNNNNNNNNNNNNNNNNNNNNNNNNNNNNNNNNNNNNNNNNNNNNNNNNNNNNUAUACACUACUUUGUACUCACACACACAUGCCACACUUGUUCUCUGAGUGUUCAAUUCUAGCAUUCUUGACUCAACAAUGCCACUCUCUACAUUCAUAUCCACAUGUCACAUUUGUUUCUAAGUUCUCAUUACUAUAUCAAAUGCCACAAUAUCAUAAUUGCACUUGCCUAUACUUUUUAGCACAUUUUACAACUUGCCAACAUGCAUAAUUUCAUCUAGUAUACUCCACAAUAUCAACAUGCAUAUUCCAUUUAUCAUAUUUCACAAUUUGUCUAUAUACAUAUACCAACUAGUAUAUUUCCAUAAUGUUAACAUUCAUAUGCCAUCCAACAUGUUCCAUGAUUUAUCAACAUGCAUAUUCUUUAUCGCCCAAUGGUAGGCAUUAUGCAACUUAACAUUUUUCUCAUGCAUUCACUAUUAGCAUUUUCCUUAAUGUAUUAACAUGCACAUCUCAACGUAGGUAUUAAACAUCAAACAUAAUAAGGUUCAUGCAUCCAUAUUAUCUUAUGCAACCUACCACUAUACAUACAUGCAUUAAUAAUGAAUAUUACUUUGCUUUGACAUGGAAGCGAGCUAGACAUUUUGGUGAGCACAACCCACCUCAAAUCGCUUUCCGAUUGCUUUUAGUCACUUACAAUCGGCCCCCUGCGGCAUACGUGACCCGAUUCGGCCCGAACUCGCACUCGACCAUCUAACGGCCACCAAUCCAUAAUCCGAAAAUUUAAGGUCUAUAACUUGAUGCCAUGAUGCUCCGGAUCCGUUUUUAUGGAUUUUGGAUGUCGCUUCGGCCCUCUAGGCGGAAACGAAGCCAAAACGUCCGUUUCUUCAAUAUCUUCGCGUAGGCUCGACGAAUCGCUGAACCGACUUCACCAACACGUCAAAAAUACCUUCAAUUAGGUUUACAUAGGGUUAAAUUAGAUCAAGCCCUUAUAUUUUGUAAAAUUCUAUUUUUGAGCCCUAAAAUGCACUAUUGUAAGAAAUCAUCAUAUAACCUUUUAAUUCAUGCAAUAGUCAUCCAUUUAGCAUCUAAGGGUUCCUCUAAAUUCAAUUAUAGAGCAUAUAAUUCAAACCCUAGAACUCCACUAUUUUAAAUCUAGCCUCUACCCAUGCUCCAAAUAACCCAAAUUAAAUGGAGAAAACAUGCUAACAUCACAUUAGAGGCUACUAGAACCUCAUACAUAAAGGAUUUAUUUGAAAUCCUAGUUUAAAUCAAGAGAUCUCACCUUAGGCCACUAUGCCCAUCAAGCUAAAUCCACCAUUAGAAAGCUUGCUUCACCAUUGGAGAGCUCCAACAUUAUCUCCAACAUCAUCUCCUCCAAAAUCCCAUCUUUAGGAGAGAAAACUAGAGAGAGGAGAGAGAUAUCUAGAGAGAGAAAGGGAAGUUUCUCUCUCCCUCUCCAUGCGUGUGUGUGGUGGGUGUGUGUGCGCGUUGGUUGGUUGAGGGAGGAAGAAGAAAUGGGAAAAAGACCCAUUUUCAUAAGUCAACACCCCUCAACACACUACUCAACCGACCGUCCCUAGAGCAAGUGGCAAAGGGCUUGGUGGUUGGUACCCGAGACCCAAGUUCGAAUCCUAGUUGAUUCACAUUUUCAGCUAAGUUUAUUUCUAAAUGAAAUCCCGACCAGCGGUAGCGCUGCUACCUAUCUUCUCUUUCAAAAAAAAAAAAAAAAAAAAAAAAAAAAAAAAAAUCCACCUCUCAACACACUACUCAACUUUCAGCACAGGUACAUAUAUUUUUCGCCUGCCCUUCUGAAUGUCCGUUUGAGCUCAAAUUUGACAGUCAGGCUUGGUUUUACUUAACUUAACGAAAGAAACUUUAAUCUUUCAGUUUCGACCACAUUUGGUCACCGAAAGCUCUGCCGAACUGUAAUCUCUAGCACAUAGCAGUCGGAUUUUAUUUUUCACCUUCCGGGUAUCAGAAUGACAUGAAACUUUAAAUCUAGCUUCAUAAAAAUAAUUUUGACAUAUUCUCCAGUUUUCAUAAUUUUCUGACACUGCAUUUUCUGCUAAAAUAUCAGCUCCGUUUCUCACGGAAAAUUCUAAAUCUUCUGUUUUCGUUCCGAUUUUAGCACGAGUCGUUUCCGACUUAUAUUUUACUUCUCUAAAUCCAAUAAAAAUAGUAUCUCGUACUAUUAGAGAUACUAUUUUUAUUUAUUUUUACUUUUUUAUCAAAAUCCGGUAUGUUACAACCAUGAGCCAUCUGUAUCAACAAAGAACACCAUCAAGUAAUAAGGGUCAGCGACAUACAACGGAACACAAGCCAAACAACCCCGUACUCAUGCACCUAUACACCUUAGGUCUUUCUAUGGGCCAGCCUAACCAGUGGUUCAGUUAAACAUUAAUGAGAAAAAGGUUGCAACCAGUGGUUCAGUUACGUUGCCUAUUUUAUUAUUUAAAUCAUGAGUUUAUGCUAUUUAUGUAUUGUUUGAGGGCUUCCAUACAAUUGUGACAGCAUGGGCUGCCUCGGGUAGCAUGAGACCACCUCCUGUGGCCCUCUGGACUGAUUGUCCAAGUCCUCAUUGCUUUCGCGAGAUCGAAUCGUGUUCCAGAGCAUUUUUUCGACAAAAUUGUCAGCAUAAUGUGUUUAUCGGUGUGGGAAUCGCUUUGUGGAGUUGUGGAUGCCCUAGUUUUGUUGCUGAGCCUUGUUGGCUGGUUUUCCUUGUUGUCCCGAAGUUUCAGAGACAACGGGUGAGCGACGGAGGGUUCUGGUGCCGAAAACGGCAUUUUCGGAAAACCGGGAUGUCAUUACGGGUGCGUUUGUAUUUUUAUGCACCUUGGACUUGGGUUUGCUGUCCGACAACCUAAAUUGGUGUGUUUCUGGACAGCGAGUGACUUGGGUUGCUUAUUGUUACCUUCCGGGGUAUUCUCUAGUGUUCGGAAUUGUUCCGGUAGAUUUUUCAAAAAUUUCGACGAUUUCGGAAUUAUGAGUUUAGCAUUUUUGAGUCGACUCAAUGGACCAUGACUUGGUAGGUAUUUCGUAGGUCUAGUCAAUAUUCCUGUGAGCCUUGGGUGUUAGGCUCUUCUCCAGUUCAGGUGGGUGCUUCGAUCCAGAGUCGGUACAUUGGACUAGCUCGGUGAUAUUUCUCAUUUUUCUUUUCCUUGCAUGUUACGGAUAAGCGUGAUUCCACUCGACUUCCAGUUAUUAUUCUCUACUUUCAUCUCUACAUAUGAUAUCAGUAGAGUUGUGUGGUGUAUCUUGCAUGAUCUUGUGGUGAGACCUGAUUGGUCAGUAUUGAUCGGCUCGAUGAUCCGAACAAUCUCUUGGACAUGUGUUAGUUGUUACUAUUCUUGGCUUGUUGCCGCCCUAUGGAUUGAGCAUUUUGCAUCGAUUGUCACAACUCAUUUAGUACUUCACGUACACCAGCGGUUUGGCCACCGUGGGAGUGUUUUUUUUCAAAAAAGUGGUCGUCUUCUCAACUCGUGAGCCUCUUUCUAGGUGUUUGUGGAGAUUGUGUGCCUGGUGGGUAAGCAUACAGUGACAUAGCCUGCGAUCUGCGGAUUUAUAGGGCACAAUGAUUGGGUUUUCGGUUUAUCUACAGUUGAUGCAUAUGUUCAAUAUUUGCAGUAGCAGUAGUUGUUCAUACAUAUUUAUACCUGUUCUCUAAUAUUCGCUACUGUACUUGUUAUACAUAUCUAUCUGUUGUAUCUCCUUUGCCGGUGCGUACACCUCGCCUUCGUCGGCUUGCAGUACCCACUGAAAGGGGAGACAUGUUUACAUUUUCUCACCCCCCACUAUUUUUCAAGUGAUCUCAGUGGUGGGAGUCGGGACGUUGUGUGAGGCGCGAUAGCUAGUGAGCUGUUGAGGUUCCGACUAGUCUUCCCUCAGUUUUCGGUUAUUCUAUCUCGAUCCUUCUCGUCUUAUUGGUUAAUAAACUAGAGUUAUGUAGUUCAGUUAUUCAGUUGUCUGUUGUUUGAUUGUCAGACUUAGUGGUUUUUGAGUAUUGUGUAUGUUUGAUGAUUCUCUAUAUUUCAAGGUGAUAUUAGUGGUUUAUUUGUGAUAUGUAGUUGAUGGUUUUAUCGUACGUAGUUUUCUAACCCUCGUGGUAGCUGGCUUUUCAAAAGUGAGUUUCCGUGUGGGAAAUAGUUUUCAAAUGACUUUCGAAUUUAUUGAUGUUUGCUGUUUUUAAAUAUAGUUUCUGGGUGGGAAACACUUUUAAAGAAUAGAACUGAUUGCUGUAAUGUGCAUUGGCAUCAUCCUUCGCCUAAGGAGUGUUUAGAGCAUGCAUCAACGUAAGGAUGGUUAGCUGAAUGGUUAUCUGACAUCCGUAUUGUGUAUGUUGUUUGUGUGAGUGGAUGAGUGCAUUGUUGUAUAUUUUGUGUUGGUAAGCCGUGCAGAUACAGGAAAGACUCUGCAAGUGUGGACAGAGAGAUUUAUGUAUCUUUGGUGGGUUUCAAACUGGCCCCUUUUAUUUGAAAAGGCUUUACAAAAAGGACGUCGAGGCGUGACAGGCGCUCCGACAACCUCCCUCCGCCGCCACACACCAACGACGGGAUCGGUGCUCCGCUCGGCUCCAAGGGCUGGGCCAACGAUCGGGUUUCGUUGCGGAAGGAUAAACAGGCUGAGAUCCUCAGCAACAUCGAGCUCAUCAUCGCCCGAGUUUGGUUCUUGUUUUCUUGUUGGAAUCUUGGCUCUAUUCUCUGCUCCUAUUUGAUGAUCCUCUGCUUGCUUGUCUCUUCCCUUUUGCUAUGUAGGAAAGUUGAAAGAGAUCACAUUCUAGGAAAUUUUUGUUUGACCUGGCUUUGUUAUAUUUCACUUGAUCCUCUGCUAUGUAAAACAUGGUUUGGCCUCACUUUCAUACCUAAACUUUGAUUUGUUGUAUCAGGUGCGCAAACUUUUAAAACGUUUUAAUUUUAGUUCCGUUGUCUGUCAUUGCUGGUCCCAAACUUUUAAAACAUUCCAAUCAGAUGUUUACUUGAAUUGACUAAUUUAAUACAUCAUUGUUGGUUUGAAAAACUUCAAUGUCAUUAGUCAGAUGCGUUUAACUAUUCCGCUAAUCUUCUUUGACUAAUUAAUUUGCUGUCAUAUUCUAGCUAUUAUUUGUGUGUUUCAGCAAACUUCUAGGCUGCUACUUAAGGUAAAUUGUACCACUAACCUCUGAACUUUCAGGCUUGGUUUAGGUUUAAUUUUGCUUCUCAAACCGUCAAAAUUUAUAUUUGAGAUACCAAAUUCUUGUAAGAGUUUGAUUUUUCGUCCCCUUAUGUAAUUACCAAUUGAGAAUUUACAUACUACCCAUUUAUUGAUCAAUUAUCGUAUCACAUAUUUCAAUCCUACUAUCUAUUGAGUAAGAAUCUUUUCGCUACUUAAAAAAUAAAAUGUUCGUGAAAUUUGUAGUCUACAAAUCUAAGAUGAACUAGGUGCAAGUAGUAAUUUUUAACUUCAAAGCAAGGACUAUAAUGAAACAUUUAUCAAGUUUAGAGAAUAAAAUGGAAUAUCAUUAAAAGUUAGGGGUCUCAAAUAUCAGGUCUCAAAGAUAUUUUCGACAUCAUUGGCCUAACGAUCAGAAGGUUUUAAAAUUUGUAAUUUUAAUAGUCGAUAUAAGAUGUUUUCUCGUUUAACGGCGUAAAAAUAUUAAAAUCAAUUGAAUUUUGGUUAGAAAAUUUUUUAAACUAUUUAGAACAAAAUCUAUAAUCUUGAUCUUGAUUACAAGACUUCUAUCAUUACUUGUUAAAGAAUAUUCAUUUUCAGCUGUUGAUUUUUGUACCCACUUGAUGGAUGAGAGAACAAUAUAGAAAAAAUAUAAAAUUUGGUUUCUAAAUGAUUCAAGUGGCAUAGAUAAUAUUCAACGGUACCGAUUGUCGAUUUGGGGGCUCUAUCAUCGAAAAUAAAUGAAUGGCAACGGUGCCCAUUUACCACCGAUUGCAUUUCAACUCAACUCUAUAUAUUUAUACUUCAUGUGUAAACACUUUAAUAGUUUUAACUUUAGAGUCUCAGCUUGACUUUGCAGAGGCUUGAACCGAGUUCGGAUUGUCGUUGGUCAAACAUUUUAAGUGUCAAGCCAAAUCCCACCCAUCAAGUUUCGAGCUCAAUAACACGGAGCAGACCACCUAAUCUCUAGCCAGCUUUACAAUUUAGCAAAUAUGAAAAAAAAAAAAAAUACAAUAGAACAUAAUGAGACAUGAAGUACAUUGACCUUUCAGAGCAGAGCCCUUACAUUUAUAAGUCUCUUGUGUUUCACAUCAACUCUCUUGUUUUAUAAUUUUUUUUUCCUCUCUAAAAUUCAAAAAGAUUAAUUAUGUCAAUCAUUAGAUCAAGGGUAUAAAAUGUACACUUUUUAUAAAGAAUGUACUGGUAUGGUUAUCCCCUAAAAGAGGUUGUAUGGAUGAGUAUCUUAGAUGAAUAUUUAUUAGUAUCCAGACUAGAUUUAUAUCUUACUUACUCGAACUAUAAUGUGGUUAACAAUAAUAUUUUGAUAAAUUACACUUUUUUUCCUCAAACUAUUUGGCGCAUGACACUUUGAUCCUCAAGUUUUAAUUUAUUAUAAUAUUUCGCUCGAACUUUUUAAAUUAUUAUAAUUAAGUCCCACAACCCAAUUUAUACGGCUAAAUUUUGACAAAUUGUUGAUAUAAAAGUAAUAUAAAUCUUAAUUAUUGUCACAUCAUCGGUCAUCACACUUCAACAUCAUUUCUAUAUCGACAAUUUAUCAAUGUUUAGCCGACUAAAUUAGGUUGUAGGACGUGGUUAUAACAAUUUAAAAAGUUUGAGUCGUAAAUUACAAAACAAUUAAACUUUGAGAACAAAAAUGUCAAACACGCCAUAAUUUGAGGUCCAGAAAUGUAAUUUACCUUUAGGGCGUGUUUGGUUCGCUUCUUUUUCACCAUGGAAUCGGAAUCGGAAUGGGUGAAUCCGUUUGUGGGUGUUUGGUACACGGGAGUCCCAUUCCAAUUCCGAUUCCCGAGUGGAAUGGGAAUGCCCCAAUCACCCCUUUUUUCAAUCCGGCCUAGGAGGCCGGAUUGAAAGUUGAAUCCGGACGGAAUGGAUAUUUAUUCGGAUUAAAUUUAUUUUUUCAACUUUUUAAAUUAAAAUAUAAGUUAAAAUUUUAAAAUUAAAUAUAUAAUUUUAAAUUUUAAUUUAAACUUAAAUUAAAAAUUAAAAUUUAAUCAAGUAUUUCGAAUCUAACUUAUGAAUUUGAAUUUAAAUUAAAUUUUAAUUUAUAUAANNNNNNNNNNNNNNNNNNNNNNNNNNNNNNNNNNNNNNNNNNNNNNNNNNNNNNNNNNNNNNNNNNNNNNNNNNNNNNNNNNNNNNNNNNNNNNNNNNNNNNNNNNNNNNNNNNNNNNNNNNNNNNNNNNNNNNNNNNNNNNNNNNNNNNNNNNNNNNNNNNNNNNNNNNNNNNNNNNNNNNNNNNNNNNNNNNNNNNNNNNNNNNNNNNNNNNNNNNNNNNNNNNNNNNNNNNNNNNNNNNNNNNNNNNNNNNNNNNNNNNNNNNNNNNNNNNNNNNNNNNNNNNNNNNNNNNNNNNNNNNNNNNNNNNNNNNNNNNNNNNNNNNNNNNNNNNNNNNNNNNNNNNNNNNNNNNNNNNNNNNNNNNNNNNNNNNNNNNNNNNNNNNNNNNNNNNNNNNNNNNNNNNNNNNNNNNNNNNNNNNNNNNNNNNNNNNNNNNNNNNNNNNNNNNNNNNNNNNNNNNNNNNNNNNNNNNNNNNNNNNNNNNNNNNNNNNNNNNNNNNNNNNNNNNNNNNNNNNNNNNNNNNNNNNNNNNNNNNNNNNNNNNNNNNNNNNNNNNNNNNNNNNNNNNNNNNNNNNNNNNNNNNNNNNNNNNNNNNNNNNNNNNNNNNNNNNNNNNNNNNNNNNNNNNNNNNNNNNNNNNNNNNNNNNNNNNNNNNNNNNNNNNNNNNNNNNNNNNNNNNNNNNNNNNNNNNNNNNNNNNNNNNNNNNNNUAGGGAUGUCAAUGGGUAUGGAUACCCGAAAUUUUAUCCGAACCCGAACCCGAAUGAAACCGAUAUAUCUGAUGGAUAUGAAUAUGGAUUCGGAUAUGGAUAUCAAAAAUAGAAACCCGAAGGAUAUGGAUUCGGAUAUGGAUUUUGAUUGUACCCGAUCUGAACCCGACCCGAACCCGAAUUUAUUUUGUAUUAUAUAUAAUAUAUAUAUAAAAAUUUGAUGUUAUAUUUGAAUUUGUAUUUUAAAAAUUUAGAUUUAAUUUUGAAAUAUUGAAAAAAGAAAUAAUUGUUUCGGGUUCAAAUUUUCAGGUUCGGGUUCGGGUUUCGAAUUUUUGGUCGGGUUCGGGUUUGGAUAUGGAUUUUUAAAAUCCGUCGCUUUCGGGUUCGGAUUCGGGUUCGGGUCUCGGGUUCGAAGUCGGGUUCGGGUUCGAGUUUUUAAAAAUCUGCACCGAAUUCGACCCGUUGACAUCUCUACACGGCGGAGAAAAAUGCUUUGCAUACAUUCAGUUUUGGAUGUAUAUCUCCAUUUAAGUAAGGGCCAACUUUAUUUGUUCACCCUAAUAUUAUUACUUUCUUUUUUUUUAAUAUUAAAAAUUUAAUUAGCAUGUCUAAAAUUUAAUAUUAUAAGAUACACAUCUCAAAAGCAUAUGUACGAGUGACAUUAUUUCACAUGGUAAUAACGACCAUCCUACUCAAUGUCACGUCAGCAGUUCUUUUACUAGUAGGAGGAAGAAAGGGAGGAAAAAAAAUAAUGAUGAAAUUAUUGCUUGUAACAACCGGCCUCAAUAAUUUUAGGAAAAAACUUUAAAUAUCGCUUAUAUGGUUUCGUAUUUUCUCACUUUAGUAUUUUCUGAUUUAAAAUGUAUCACUUUCGUAUCCUAUAGUUUUAUUUUUUUUAUUAUUAUCUUUUUUUACUAUUUUUUAUUAAAUCAGUAAAAAAAUUAAAACUAAAGAAUACUAAAUUAAAUAUUCAACAAUGUAGAUAGAGUAUCUGUUUUGUAUAUGAUUUAACGAAAAAUUAAUAAAGAGUCUGACGAAAAAAAAAAAAACCACAGGAUAAUAAAUUAAUACACUUUAAACAACAAGAUACCAAAAUGAAAAAUACGAAAUUACAGGGAUGGUAUUUGAAGUUUGCCUAUAAUUUUACAAAGCAACAAACAUUUAAAGAAUAUUCCAAUUCUCUAAAUACAAUUUACAAUACCAUAUAAUGCACAAUCUCAGAAAUUAUAAAGCUUAUAAAUUAACCACCAAUGCAUAAAGUAGUCUCAAAAUUAGUGACACAGAAGGGUUACAUACUUUCACGAGUUUACAACAAUUAUUUAGGUCUCGGUUCGUAUCAUGUCUGUUCUUUAUUUUUUUACGACAAAAAUAUAUAUAAUUUAUCUAAACUAUGAAUCAGUUUAAAAUAAUGGGAUAAUUAACUAUAUACCUCUCAAAAUUUCGAAAAUAUAUCAUUUAUUCCUACUUUUUUUUUUCAAUAUACCCCUUAUAUGUUCCUCCGUUAUUCUAAAAUACUCAUGCUACUUCCGUCCAUUAAAUUAACUUGGGUUAAACAUGAGUUAAAUAUCUACUAGAGUUAAAAAAAAUCAAAAUACCUCUUUUAUCCUUAACAUAAGGACAAAUACUCUUUUACCCUUAACAUAAGAAUAAAUAAGAAAUAUUGGUAAUAAUAGAAGGAUAUAUUUGAAAAGAUUAAAAAGCAAAAUACUUCUUGUGCUCCUAACUUAAGGGCAAAUAAAAAAAAGUCGAUGAUGAUAGAAGGGUAUAUUCAAAAGAACAAAAAUAGUAAUUUUAUAGAGAUAACAGCUAUUGCUAACAGUUCAUUAACAAAUUUAAACUCUAGGGGUAUAUUUGAAAUAGGUUGGAACGUGAAAAGAAUAUUUUCAAUAUUAGCCUUUUAAGAAAGAUAAAUCAGAAAGUAGAAAAUUUUUCAGGAAUAUAUAAGUAAUUGUCCAUAAAAUAAUUAUUCAACCUUUCAAAAUUUUGAUUUACUAUCCAACUAUUUAAUUUGUUUGACUGGAGUCAGUCAACAUUAUUUUGACUUUAAAAUUAAAUCUAAUUACCUACUUUAUUGAAUUUAUAAUUGCAAAAAUUAUAUGAAUACUAUCUAACCUGUCGAGAGAAGCAACGUAUUCAAAUUUUAAAGUCUAAUUGUCAUUGAAGACUCAAAUCAAACUAAAUAAAAGGUUAAGUAAUAAAAUUAAAAUUUUGAAAGUUUAGUUAACCAUUUCAAAAUGGUCCGUAGUCCAGUGUAAAACAACAACAAUAACAACAAUAAUAAUAAGAAAAAAAUAUAGAAAUUUCUACAAACAUUUGUUUUUAUACAUUACUCUCUGUCCGUUAAAAAUCCCCGUUUUAUUUCUUAAAAUUUAUAGUUGUACUAUUUAACUCAAUACCAUAACUAUUGCUAUAUAAAUUGUGUGAUAUAUAUAAGAUACCUAAUUUAUCUAAUAUAUUCUUAAAAAUGGUAGAGGUAUAUAUGAUAUUUUUAUUUUUCUCAAAUUAGGUAACUUUCUGAGAAAGAUCUCCUAUUCUUUCUACUAAUUGACUUUCGUUUUUCAAAUAAAUUUUAAGAAUAAAGUGACUUUAUCUAUAGUUAUUCAGUUAUAUCAUAUGUAUGAAACGGUGGCGAAACAGUAAUAAUACGAGAAUACCUGCUAAAAUUUUAGGGUGUGUUUGGUUCGCUUCUUUUCCAUCAUAGAAUCGGAAUCGAAAUGGGUGAAUCCGUUUGUGGGUGUUUGGUACGUGGGAGUUCCAUUCCGAUUCCGAAUCCCGAGUGGAAUGGGAAUCCCCUAAUCACCUCUUUUUUCAAUCCGGNCCUAUUUUCUCUUUUUCUAAACUAAAUUAAGAGAGAGAAGAGAAAUUAUUGACUACACCCAGGACAUGUAUGGUUUGCUUCUUUUUCACUCUGAAAUCGGAAUCGGAAUGGGUGAAUUCGUUUGUGGGUGUUUGGUACGCGGAAGUCCCAUUCUGAUUGCAAUUCCUGAGUGGAAUGUGAAUACCCCAAUCACCUCUUUUUUCAAUCCGCCUAGCAGGCCGGAUUGGAAGUUGAAUCCAGACGGAAUAGAUAUUUAUUCGGAUUAAAUUUAUUUUUUCAACUUUUUUAAUUAAAAUAUGAGUUAAAAUUUAAAAAUUAAAUAUAUAAUUUUAAAUUUUAAUUUAAACUUAAAUUAAAAAUUAAAAUUUAAUCAAGUAUUUCGAAUCUAACUUAUGAAUUUGAAUUUAAAUUAAAUUUUAAUUUAUAUAAAGCUUUAUUCAAAUUUUAUUUCAAACUUAAAUUUAAUUUAUGGAUUAAAAUUAAAAGUAAAAUUGUAAUUUUAAGUUUGAAUUUGAAUAAAUCAAAAUUUAGUUUCAUAUUUUGAAUUAUCCACUCAACUUCAAAGUUUAAUUUUUUUAUAAAAAAAUAGAUUUAAAAUUUUCACAUUAUUUCAAAUUUUUGAUGUAAAUGUUUAAUAUUUAAUUUUUAAUUUGAAUUUAAAUUAAUAUAUUAUAAAGAUAAUGUUAGUAUAUUAAUUUGAUUGCGUUUUUUAUAUCCACCUGAACCAAACACCGACAAUGGGAAUGAUUUAUUCUGAUUCCGAUUCUAGUGAUGAACUAAAUAGAAUUAAGUAAUGAGUCUGUCACGCCCCGGGAUUCCUUUUUGGUUAAAACACGGCGGAAAUUUUUUUUUUUGAAAACCUGACCCCAGGGUAUGCCAGACCCGCCACAAAUACAGGGAGUCCACUGUUCACACGGACAGAGUCUCCCCUGUAUUUGCACGGCGUCGCACAAGUACAAGAUUUCCAAACAGAGUAUAACCAGGAUACAACCACACCACAUGAAUAUACAAUACACAACAUUCAUUCACCAUUCACCAAAUAUUUAUUAUUCAGUGUUUAAACAUAAAAACCAUAAGAAAACUCUUUUGAAAGCUGUUCCCCACACGGAAACCUUUUCUUUUAAAACGCGCUACCACGAGGGGUAGAAAACUAUUUUUUUUUCACAAAUUUCACAAAUCCCUUUAUUACAUUCAUGAAAAUCCACAUUUUCAAAUGUAAUAAAAAUACUGAACCAUAUAAGCUAUCUGAGCUAUAUCAACAUAAUAGUAAGGGUAGAAACUAAACCGAAUAACCUGGGUCGGAAGCUCUAUCGACCGCUACGUAUGUAUCUCACGUCUCGUCUCAACCCUCACCGCCCGCGAUACCUGAAAAAUGGUGGGGGAGGUGAAAACAUGUAAACAUGUCUCCCCUCCCAGUGGGUACCGCAAGCCGAUGAAGGCGAGGAGUACUCACCGGAUCAGGAAGAGCUAAACAACAGUACGGGUCAGUAGAAAUACAGUAGCAAUAAUAAUGAAUGAAAGAGACAUAUAUAUGAAAGAAGUACAACUACCGCUACUGUAAUGGACAACUGAAUGUAUACAUGUAACAAGAUUAUAGUAGCAAGACAAUGUAAUGAACAGUAGCAAUAAUAAUAAAUGAAAGAGACAUAUAUAUGAAAGAAGUACAACUACCGCUACUGUAAUGGACAACUGAAUGUAUACAUGUAACAAGACUAUAGUAGCAAGACAAUGUAAUGAAAGAACUGAAGGUAUACAAGCAACAACCGCUACUAUAGUUAUAUGCGUCAACCGGACAAGAAGUCCAAAUAUACCCAAUCUGGUACCUGCUAUAUUGGUCCGCAGACCUCAAGCGCUGCCGUCACUAACCUGCACCGACCUGAUUCACCCGCCCCAUAGGACGACCCAUCCGGAUAAGUACACCUCCGAUCGGUGGCCAAACCGAUCCGGUGUCGUGAAUACCCCCAAGUGCUGUGACUAAGUCAUGCUGGUAUGCUCAAUACAAAAACCGGCUAAAACCGGUGCCUAGGCCGAAGCCAGAAACAAGGGCGUACAACGCCGAACCUCGAUCAACCAGAUCGAAACACGUGACGAGAGAGUCAAUGUGUUGCCUGGACCCAAGGUCCACAGAGUCCAACCGACCAACAAGGUCACUGAUACGAAGUACGAGAACCGACCAACCAGGUCAACAGAUACGGAAUGCACAACCAACCAACUAAAUCAACAGAUACGGAAUGCAAAAAUCGACCAACUAGGUCAACAGAUACGGAAUGCAACAACCGACCAACUAGGUCAACAGAUACUAAAUGCAACAACAGACCAACUAGGUCAACAGAUACGCAUGUAGAUAGAACUACACUACGUCCAACAGAUACAGCAUGCAACAACGAGUAGAGUUACGCUAACUUCCUACUCAGGAUACUAAGCAUGCAAACAACGAGUAGAGUAUAACGAAUAAACAAGGGUGCAAGGCUCAAUAUACUAUGCGAUAGUAACAACAGAAGAGUAAGGGUAAGAAACCAUCACCAAGCGUGCACCACUGUACCAACGUCGGAUCGAAGUACCCAUCUGUACGGAUGUCGCGUCUGUUUCCUAACUGCAAAAGAAUGCCGACAGGACCUAUAGAGGGUCCACCGGGUUAGUAUCUAACCCACCACUAAGCACCACAGUAUCCACAACCCCACAAAUAAUUUCACGAAGAUCGGUUUCCCAAUACCGAUUACCGUAACUCGCCGGAAGUCCCGAAAACCACACCGGGACGCCGUCGGGACCCACUAAGUGUCCCGAAACUCACCGACUCGUGUCACGAGUCACCUGUUUCCCCAAAACACUCCAAUUUGGAUGUUUUGGCAGCAAACACAAGAUAACACCACUACGCAAUUAUCCCCGAAAAAUUGUACGAAUUCGGGUUCCCAAAAGUGUCUAUUUCGACACCGGAACCCACCGUCGCUCACCCAUCAUCACCGAACCUACAAAAUGAUGAUGGUGACCAGCCAACAAGGCUCAGCGAUAAUUUACAGGAUAACCAAACCACGUCGGAAGAAAUCCGAACCGAAACCGCGUUCUUUCGGCGAAUUUUGCAGAAAAAUACGCCGGAAUCGACUUUUCGAUUUCCGCAAAAGCUACAGGAUCAUGGACAAUCAGUCCAGAGGUCAAACACACUCAUACACACUGCCCACAGUAGCCACAAGGUGUACGAUUGCACAAAAGCCCCUGUAUUUACAUAAAAUCCCAACAUUUUAUGUAAAUCGGGCGAUAAAAUAGCUCGUUCACGCAAACCGAGGACUUCUAAGUUCCACCGAGACAUGUACUGACAGGUCUCGAUGUGCCGGAGGCCGUGCUCAUGGUCCGGAGCACAUCGGCUCACUGUGGGAGGCGCGGGAGCAACCCGAAGUUCUGUGAACAGCGCGCAGUCGGGGAAGAUAGCGCCAAACAGGGCUAACCGGACACUGUUGAUCCAAAGUGAGGUGAGCACUGUGAUCAGCACUGACCAACGAUCACCGUGCUCACCUCCGGAGGCAUCAGGCCAGCCUCGGAUCGCCGGAUAAGCGUGCGCAAACCCAAAAUAGCAGCCAAACAGGCUCUAUAGGGUCGACACCGCCGAAACAGCGGAACGGAGUCUCCCCGGCAGAAUCUAAGGUGAGCACGAUGAUCAGAAAUUUGCUAAGGUCAUCGUGCUCCCUUCCGCAGAGAUCGGGGGGCUCAGGAAGCUCAGAACAAUAAACCAUCCAAACUAAGCCCUAUUUCGGGCUUGGCCGGAGCAAGCUUUGCUCCGCCGAUACCGCGCAUCGGCCGGCCACCGCGCCGGAGCCCAAGAUGGGUGCCGGGGGAGGUGAGGAGUUACCUGCCACUUCUCGGUAGCGGCGGAGAGCGGCGGUGGCGACGGCGGAAGCAAAGCGAGCCCGCACUAAAUACUAGGCUCGGUUUCCACUGGCAAUGGCGGCCACGGCGGGGCGCGGGAAGGCUCUAAGGGGCGAACGGAGAGGGUAGUAAGAAGGCCCGCAAAGGGGCAAAAACAGAAAGGAGGGUGCAAAAGGAGUGGCGGCCAUUCGAUGCGCGGCGCGGGAAAGAAGCCGCGGUUUGCCUCCCCAGCGGGGUCUGGGCGGCCACGGCUGGCAUAGACGGCGGCGGCGGCCCGCAUGCGGCGGCGGUGACCGGCGGGGAAGAUUCCGACGAGGUCGGGGCGAUGCUGGCAGGGUGCAGGGAGGCAAUGCAGCCUCGGCCAAGGCUCCAACCUGAGAAGAACAGAGGGGUGGAGAGAGAAAUAGAGAGAGAGAUGGAGAGGGAGGAGAAGUAGCUAACUCCGGCGGCCGGAGACGCAUGCCGGCGGCCGGGGUACGUGCAGUUAGGGCAGGGGAGGUAGAUGUGUGUGAGAGUGUGGGAGAGGGAAAUGAGAGGGUGAGUGAGAGAAGUGGUCCCCAAGCCUCUCAUAUAGGCAUAAUUGCAAAAAACCCCCUCAACUUUCCAUUCAUGAAGCAGCGCUCACUGGGCAUUUUUCGCAGUGAGGGACUGGUCCCAGGUCGGGGAGACCGGUCCUCGAGAGCCUCCCCCUCGGGCAGAGGAAAUUUCAUGUUCGGAAAUGGGUCCCUGCUCGAGAGACCGGUCCCGGGAGAUCGGUCCUUGCUUGAGAGACCGGUUCCUGAGAGUUGGAUUUUCGGGACUUAGCCAAAAUUUGGGCUUUUCUCGCGGGGUUAGUGUUCGGGGACCGGUCCCUCACUGCCAGAGACCGGUUGCAUCAGGGAUCCCCGCCACCCCAGCCGAUGGGACCGGUCCUUCCCUGCCAGGGACCGGUCCCCGAGAGCAAUCCUGCUCCAGUGCAAGUUUUGCACUGGUGUUCUCGUGGACUCUUCCUUAAUACACUUUAUGCAUUUUAAUCACUCUCGAACUUUCCAAAGCCUACUCACUCGACAAUUAGUCGAUUCUAAAACGAAGUCUAAUCCUCGAAUUUUGAGAAUUCAUUUCCUUACAUCUAGAGAUCAAACCAAGACAUUUUGCUAUAUGUCACAGUAGGGCACCCAAAAGAGAGAUUUUGCUGAAGUAGGGUUUUAAUGCAAAUUAACCCUAUGUAAACCUAAAUGCUAGGUACGCAAACGCGUUGGCGAAGUCGGUUCUACAAUUCGUCGAGCCUAUGCGAAGUUAUUGAAGAAACGGACCGUUGAAGCUUCGUUUUCGCAUGGAGGGCCGAGGCAACGCCCAAAAAUUAUGAAAUCGGAAUCGUGGGUACGUGGCAACUAACCGUAGACCUUUAAUUUAUGGAUUGUGGAUUGGAGGCCGUUCGGGUGGUCGCGCGAGAGUUCGGGCCGAACCGGGUCACGGCUGUCGCGGGAGGCCGAUUGCAAGUGACUACAAGCAAUCGGGGUGCGAAUUGAGGUGGGUUGUGUUUACCGAAGCGACUAGGUCGCCUGUAUGUCUAAGAUUAGUGCUUACUAUUGAUGCAUGUAAUGGUAGCUAGUGGUAGAACACAUAAAUGCAUAAGGUGAAAUGCUAUGUUAGGCUACCAAAUAAUGCAUAUGGUCGUAAUGUGAGAAUGCUAGGUAAUACAUAAUGACAUAGUGUAAAUAAUGCUAUGUAGAAAGCAUAAAGUAAAUAACAUAUGUUAGUCAUGUUGCAUGUAUAGAAAUGCUAAUGUGAGAAUGCUAAGUAAUGCAUAAUGACAUAGUGUAAAUAAUGCUAAGUGGAAAGCAUAAAGUAAAUGACAUAUGUUAGUCAUGUUGCAUGCAUAGAAAUGCUAAUGUAAGAAUGCUAAAAAAAAUGUAUGAUAAGUAUGUUAUAGGGAUGCUACAGUAAAAAUGCUCAGUAAAGGACACGUGCUUGUGGACAUAUACAUAUACACAUAGAUCGAGCGACAUUGAACCUAGUGUGAAGGACAUAGGUUGAGUAUGAGUAAUAUCGAACCUAGUGUUAAUAAAAUAGGUCGUACAAGUGUGACAUCAAACCUAAUGUUAGAGAACAUAGGUUGAGAUUAAAUCUAGAAUUAAGUCAACCUAGGUUGUGAGAUAAAGAUAGUGAACCUAGAGUUAAAGUAACCUAGGUCAUGUGAUACAAGUGUUAAACCUAAAGUCAAGUGGACCUAGGAUGGAAAGGACAUUGGACCUAGAUAGGUCGAUACUAUAGAGUUAAGACCAACCCUUGAGUUAUGUGAAAUGGAUUCCGGAAUCCUAGAGCUUUUGGAACACCCAAAGUGGUGUUGAACGUGUGCGACGAUUUCACCGCCCGGGGCCAACCAUUGACGUAGCGUGUGCGACGAUUUCGCCGUCGGAUGGUUAUGCCGGUUUGUGGAUUAUACCGCCGCUUGACUUGAGCCAUUGUCGUAGCGUAUGUGCGACGAUUUCGCCGCCGGGUGGCUCAGUCAUAGAGUGCGGCUGGUUGUGGUAGGCUGAGGUGCAUGCGAGAGUUCCUUCACCUCUAGCUGACAGAGCGCGGAUUAUCCGCAGUUGAUUGACUCAAGACCGAGUCGAGUGGCAUAGAUGGCUAAGGUAAAGGUAACCUUAGAAAAGAAUCGCCAAUGAGCAUAGUGUGACAAGGAAAUAAAGUAAAGAAGGGCUAACGAAUAAGAAUAGCUAAGAAUAAAGAAUAGAGAACAAAGAAUGACUAAGAAUAAGAGUAGAAUUUAAUUAAUCUACUUAGUUUGUUGCAUAGAUUUCAUAUUGCAUAUUGUGAGGCAUGACACGUAGUUCAAUAUCGAGUAAAUGUAUAAAUAUCUGUUUUAUGUUAUUGGACCAACCUGUUGCAGUGCCUCAUUAGACCUAUUGGUUGAGCUUUUUUCUUAGGUGGCCGUACCCACUGGGAAUCAUGGAGUUGGUUCUCACCUCACGUUGUUUUGGGGUGUUACAGGUACGCUCGUGAGCGGCGCAUCGACGCAAGGCAAGGGCGUAGCUCCGUAGAUAGCGCCCAACCUAGAGACCAGAGAUAGCAGUACCCCGAGUUGGCAUACCCUAGGGGUAGAGGGAAAUGAAAAGAACAAGAUGAAUGGAUUAAACUUAUAAUAAAUUAUUGUAACUCGGAUUGUAUUCGGAAGUUGGAAAAUGUAAUAGUAAUUGGGAUGUAAAAUGUACCUAAAGAUGAAUGUUGUAAUAACUUAGUUGUUUUAUGUUUUUGAUACUUCCUUAUACAAUCUUUGAUUAAAAUGUGUUCCUGGUUGGAACCUCGUACAUUGUAUUGAUUGCGACGCCUAGGACGUACAGGAAAAACUCUAUCUGCUCGGCGGUCUGUCGGCGUGCCCGAACCCGACCAAAUAGGCGGGGCACGGGGCGUAACAGAUAAGAUGGUAUCAGAGUAUAAAGUAGAGAAUGGGAUGGCUUAAGUGAACGUAGGAGACCCUAGGAUAGUGAAACCAUAGAGGUUAAGGCUCGUGAGAGACGAGGACAUGUGACUUGUGGCGAAAGGAUUAUGGAUUUGGUCGUGUUAUAAACCUCUAAGACGGAUAUUAGAGGUAGACUCGAGGUGUCGUUUAUUCUCAACCGAGGGUGUUCAUGUUGGGUCGACACAACAUGAAACUGAGUGAUGAGAAUAGACGCCCUUGCGUGACUUUCGCUCGAUUGACUCUUGAGUCGUUGUUGAUUGUCUCGUGUUCGACCCAAGAUGGUCGAGAACUAAUCGAGUUGUCGUGUUUCAGGAAACAAUUGCACCGCGUAGGCGAUCUUCAUCCAGAUCGGCGCUGGAGGGGACAAGUUGUGUCCCUGAGCAAAUCGACGCGAGCGGAGACUCAGAGCUUCAUGAUCAGUUGGCCACACUCAUGGGAGUGAUGAGGCAACAAACCGAUGUGGUGCAACGGCAGCAGAAGGCUGCUAUGUGCCAGGAGGAGCGCAUGAAAAGACUCCAAGAGACGGUAGAUUAGCUGGUGAUUGCACCGGCUGCGGCUCGUCCAGAGCGGCUGGGAGUUGCGGCGUAGAUAUUUCCGUUGGGGUCGGGUGAUUCGACUCCUACCGGUUCAGAGGUGGAGGUGGAGAGGGAACAAGCUUUCGCGGCCCUCAUGCCUUUCAAGAAGUUUGAUCCGCCUAUCUUCGAUGGAGAGAAUGUCGAUCCGCGGAUCGUGGAGAUGUGGAUUGACUCCAUGGAGACUCUCUUUGAGGAAUUGUAUACCUUGGAGCAGGAUAAGGUGAACCUAGCCGUGCAUUGUUUGAAACAGUCGGCGAAGGUGUGGUGGAAGGGCAUUAAGCGAGAUCGAUCGCCUAGUUUCCCUCAUAUGACUUGGUAAGAGUUUCGAGGAAUGCUAUUCUCUGCUUAUUUUUCCGACAGUGAAAAGCGAAAGCUUCAGGAAAGAUUCCGGAAGCUGCGAUAAGGAGACCGCUCGGUCAGGCAAUACGAGUGGGAGUUCUCUCGUAUCGUGCAUUGUGUUCCGAACGUGGUGCGGGAUGACAAGGAUAAGGCCAAUUGCUUUGUGCGUGGACUUCAGCCAGAUCUUUACAAGGCUGUGCUUGUACUUAAGUUGCAGACUUUUGCCAAAGUUCUGGAUCGGGCCUUGUGGAUAGAACAAGGCAAUGCGUCUCUGCAGGAGGAGCGCGAGGCGUACUACUGGGAGAAAGGGAAAAGACGACCAGGGAGUGGAUCCGGUGGUUGGUCUAGUUUCCAACGGACUUCGAUGGGUUCGCACUCGCAAUCCCGAGCUCCGGGGACAUACCGUAUUCGGUCCUCCGCGAGAUGAGUUAUCUGUGGAGGCCCUCAUUUCCCACAGCAGUGUGAGCAGCGUGAGGGCAAGUGCUUCAAGUGUAGGCUGCCGGCUCAUUUGCGGGACGAGUGUCCGCAAGGUGACGGCCGGGCCUUGAUAAUGACGACGGCCUAUUCCUCUCUGGGACAGCCUACAGGUGUGCCACCUACGGCAUGGUCGGGAGAGCGGCCGUUGAGGACAGUGCAAUCAGAGGGUUCGCGGCGAGCGCCAAGUGGCCAUGGGUACGCGACCCGAGUUGUAGAACCUGCUGCUGAUGACGUCAAGGUAGGUAUGAGUUAAUUAAGCAAACUUAUGCUUUUGCAUAAUCUCAAGUUUGCAUGCAUUUAUCAUGUGGUCAGUUGCUACUAUUAUGCAUUAGUAUAGUAGGGACCAAGUGGACGGGUAGAGGUAGAUACUCGGGCAUGUUUAUGCGGCGAGUGUAGCGCCUGCUGGGGCAGGUAGAGAAUUAGAUGGCAUUAGCAAAUUGCUAGUAAUGAUUCUUAGACGAGAAUGAGACUCGCGAUGAGGAUGAGAUGGUGAAGCGACUCUCAGAGCAAUGCUUAGUAGAUUGCGAGAGUUGAGCUAGGAUACGUGAGGAUACCCGAGUACUCCGAGAAUUUCGGAUAUCAUUCCGAUAGAUCGAACAGUGAAAGUGAAUCACUGUUGAGAGAGCGGUUGGUUGACACCAAGUUUGGCCUGUGGGACUAGUAGUACCUCGAGUUGAGGUGAAUAAGUCAUGCUCGUGUGGCUAGUUACAUAGGCAAGAUUGCCUAAUGCUUGACAUAGUAGGAACGCUGUAGAGGCGUGUAGAGUGCUCGAGUAUAGGUGCUCGUGGUGUGCAGUAUUGAUUCAGCCGGAAGUGUGUUGGCAGUAGUACUUCAGCUUUGCUAAGUGUGAAGCGGGCCAGGGAUCACUCAGGGGGCUGAUGGCUCGCACUAGGUGCUUAGGAGUCGGUAGUGGUACGUGACUCGAUAGAGUAUGUCGUGUAGGACGACGACGGCGGGUAGUGCUUGGGGACGACCCGUGCCUGGACCAUGUGUGGACUGUGGAGCCUGGGCCCAUUGGGCAGGUGCAGUUAGCUGUAAGUGGCUGCGGCCCGGUACCUACGGGUAGGGGGACAGUUUUUGGUCAGGGCGGAAGUCCGAGCUUAGACCCGGGGACGUGGAAUGCCACGUGAUGGAUCAUGAGAUCGAGGAUACACCGAGUGUGUAGUGACCCAACCCGNNNNNNNNNNNNNNNNNNNNNNNNNCCCGUAGACUUGACGUGGUUACGGGUCAUGAUGCUCUGUUCGACGUGUGUGAGAAUUUUCAAGUGAGAAUUUAGCGGUCAAGUGGCAGGAUUGGGUCGACCCAGUGAGCGAGGGACGCUAUGCGAUAGUUGUAAAAGGUUAGGCUGUAGGCCUACGUAGGGUGGUGACCUUUAGUAUACCCGAGAAACCGAGAAAUGGCUUGACCGGUAACUCUGUAGUGAUGUUCGGGUUUUAGACCUCAACGAACGGAGUGUUCAGUGAGUUCGUUGUUGGAACGAAAUCGAGUUGAUCGCAUCCGAAUGUCGAGUUAAUCGCUUGGACAUUAUGAUGGCAAGGGAUGAAGGCUCUUAUGAGGCAUUGAGCUAAGUGGAUACCACGUAGGAAUUGGAGCUUAGGGAUAAUGCUUUUUUAUGUGGACUAAGUUAGAUGGUGCGAAGUGUGGUCAUCAUCGGAUAGAAGCAAGGACCCGUUGGUGAUUGGAGGCACAUCACGACGGAGCGAUGCACCAACUGAUAUUGCUUCAUGUGUAAUGCCAGGUAUUGAAUCGGAGUGAACUCUCGAUUGAGUGUGUAAUGCAAAAAUGGUUCUUUGGAUGAUGGAAUGCACUUUUAGAGUUAUACGUAGCAAAUGUGAUGCAGUUUGGUUCACAUCCCAUGUAAUGGGCUUGAAUUGGUUCAAAAAGUGAAAAGCCUUAUCAAAGAAAUGGGGAUGAUUAGUCACCGCUCAAUUGCUCGAGGAGCAGAAGUAUGCGGUACUGAUUGUGAAACACAUCUCCAAACUCCCGUACUACGAGGAUAUCCUCAAUCCUAGGGGCGUUUGUAUCGCCCCACAACACAACAGUAGCCAAAUAGGCUACGCAGCCGCUACUGAUCAACUGUCUAGCUCGAGAGGAGCUAAUCGUCAUCGCAAACAGCGAACUCUUGCAUUCUCGGUACACAACCUCCGCCUGCCCUGGCUCUCUAAACGUCACAGUUCGAUUCUUGCAAUCGAUAGUGUAGUACUUGGUGAACCAGUCCAUGCCCAAAACAACAUCAAACUCUCCGAGUUUAUGCAAAGCUAGCAAGUCCACGGGCAUGACCCAACUCCAACCCGAACAGGACAACUGGGGCAAAACUCUCAAAUAUCCAAAGAGUGAUCGGGUACUACAACUCGUCCCGGAUGCAACAAAGAUGUCAAUGGGAUGCCAUGCAACUCGGCAAACAGCCGGUUUAUGAAUAAAUGCGAUGCACCGGUAUCAAAUAAUGCUCGUACUUGAAUACCAUAAAGUAAAAUAAUACCUGCGACCACAUUCUCGGCUACCGCCGCCUCAUCAGUCUGGGCCGCAUACAUGCGCCCACUCGGGGCCUGUCGUGACCCCUCCGCCUGCCGUUGAACUGGCGGCCGCCCAGCCUGGUGAUGCGCAGAAAGUGUCCCCUGGCUGGGACCCGGUAAAGCUGGUGCAGAUGCCGAAGAUGGCGCUGGUGCUGGACCCCUCGGGCAGUCCUACUGGAAGUGGCCCUCCUGGCCACACAAGUAGCACCUGCCCCGACUGCGUGAACACUGCCGUGGAAAAUGGGGAUCACAGCAGAUCACGCAGCGCGAAGCCUGGCGUCGAUCAGGUCCUCCUCGCUGAGUAGACUGGCCACGUCCUUGCGACUGGCUCCGGUGUCUCGGAUGUCUCGGCGGCCUCCCAGAGUGCGCCUGGCUCGCACCCUCAGCCACGGGCCUCUUGCCCUUGCCCUUAUCCAAGGCCUCUCGCCGUUUCUGCAGAUCUGCUGCUCCACUCUUCACAAUGAGCGUGCGGUUCACAACCUCCCGGUAGGUUUGGAGGUUGGAAGACUGAACAAACCGAAAGAUCGAAGGCCACAGUCCCCAACAACGAAGGGCACACAAUGAAAAAGCCGGGAGAACUCUCUCUCAUACUCAGCUACGGUCCUGUCUCCCUGGCGCAGAUUGCGCAGAUCCUGCUCCAUCUUCCUCUUGACGCUGUUAGGAAAGUAAUACUCCAGUAGGAGUUCCUUGAACCUCCUCCAAGUAAUCGUUGUCAGAUCCGUGCUGGGGUUGUCCUGGAUGUCCAACCACCAUCUGUAGACCUCGCCGUCCAAAUGAUGUGUGGCGAGCCACACUCUGUCCCUCUCCUCGAUGAAGGUGUCCCGAAACAGCUUCUCCAUAUGCAUAAGCCAUUUCUCCACGAUCUAGUGGUCCACGUUCUCCCCGUCGAAGAUCCGUGGACUACAUCUCCUGAACUCACUGAGACGCUCCAUGAGCUGAUCCCGCUCAGCUCCCUCAACCAUCACGGGAAAAAUCGCCCCCGCUACAGGUGCUCGUGCUGGUGGUGCUGCGAUGUCCUCCUCGCGAGGUGCCGCCGCCGGUGCCGUCCGAGAGGUGUCGAGUGCAGGGGACGACACCUUGGGUACGACCACCUCUACUGGUGCGGGUGGUGUAGGGAUCUGAGUCUCCCUGGCAGCCGCCUGCUGCAGCAGAAGGUCCUCUAGACGCUUCAUUCGUGCCUCCUGCCGAAGCGCCGUGUCCGCCUGUCGUGUCACGAAAUCAGUGAGGGCUGCAAGCUGGCCCCUCAACUCACGGACCUCGCCGGAUCCGGAGGUAGCGGAGGUCUCGACCUCCUCAAGGUGUGCCGCAUUAUCCGGUCGAGCAGAUUGAGAGCGUGUGAUCGGCAUUGUCACUACAACAUCAAAAAAGUGCAAGUUAGUACAACCCACGUUAUCGUAUCCCCGCUCAAAUAAACAAUACCCAAAUCAUGCGAAAGUAAAGAAGUGUUCUUCACUACUAACUCCCGGUGUUACGUUGUCGGCCGCCAACGUAACCCUCCGCGAAGUUAGAAGCAAUACACUCCGAUCCAACUCCAACUUUUUAGAGUUAUCAUGAAAACCAAUCAUAAUACUUUCGCUUACAAAUCGAAUAGAUCUCGUCUCUCACGAGCCUAUUUCCUAUAGUCCAACCGGCCUAAGAUUUGCUAGGUCCACUGAGACUCAACCCUAGGCUCUGAUACCAAAUUAAUCUGUCACGCCCCGGGACCUGCGGAGGUCCUCCCGGUAGCGCGCCCAUACCCGCCAUAUGUUAGCACAUAUAAGGCGUCUACAAUAACAGCGGAAAAUAAAACCAAAGAUGAUCUACAACUAGCGAUAUCAGAGUAAGUAUACAUCUAUCAUCUAUAAUAAAAGUAGAUAGAGCAAAUUAACAAUAAAGGUAAAUCAUAAAGUUAUACAAUAACCAUCUCCAAAAGGGUACUCAAAAGGGUGGUCUCUAUACAUAGAUACAACUCUCAACCUCUCCAAAAAGAAAAUAACGAGAGGUAGACCACCUAUCAACGGGUCCCUCGAUAGCAAGCUAGCUCGUGGCGAUACCCUUUCUGCGGUCUCUAGACUCUCCUGGCGUAGAAGGCUCUGAAAUAAAAACAUGAAACAGAGGGCGUAAGAACUAUAAUUUAUAGUUCCCAGUGGGCAACUACUGACCUCAGCUCAAUGCACCACUAGGCCCCAAAAGAAAAGGGUAAAUCCAAAAAGCAACAAUAAUAAUAAAUAGAUUGCAUUUAUGAAGACAUAAUAAAAUACUAAGCUACUAUGUCGCAAAUAAACAUGAUGUCAUUGUGUUGUACAUUUACUUUAUCAAAAUGAAGUAUGUCCAAGCAUGACUAAUAUGUCCGAACAUAACGAGCAAGUAGGUAUCAUGAUCCAAAAUAUCUCAAUAUAUGAUGAAUAUGCUCUAUCAUGGCAGCCAAGUAUACUAUGUGCAACAAAUAAGACUAUCAUGUAUACUACAUGUCCCAACACUAUGCUAUAAGCAUGUCAAAGUAAUCAACCUACUAAGCCUAUCUAGUAGUGAUUGUCAUUUUCUGGUUCAAUGUCAUUGUUUAUUCAUGUGCUAGGACCUACAUGAAUGUAGUCCAGCUUUUGCCACCUAAGUGUCGGUGGUAGCUCCAGCAUUCCCACUCUAGGAAUGAGUCUAUCCCUCCCGACCCCGUAGGUUUCUCGAUACCGCAUGAGUGAGCAUAAGUCGCGUAGGCCAACUCCGGAGUGCCGGCUUGUAGGGAGCGACCCUCACAAACAUGUGCAAAUGAGCACAAAUGGCAAGCAAGCGUAGUCAACGUCUCAAAAGUCCAAUCAUCAUGUCUCUUAUAUGGUAAAAGUCACUAGCAUCUCAAAGAUCUAGUUCAAUGUCUCAACGUGAUGUUCCAACACUCACUAUGCUUAGUGCCUCUUUAUGACACUUAAGCUUUUUAUAAGUUAAACACAUUUCAUAUUCUAUAUUCCAUUCAUUACAUUAGUACUAGGUUUUCAUGUAACCCAAGUUCAAUGCCCCUUUAUGACAUUAGCCCAAUCAUUCUCGAUCAGUACAAGUCCCCAAGCCUCUUAAGGCUUACUAAAGUCCCUUAUGUCUCAAAUAGGUAUAGGUUUAAAUGCAUGAAGCAAUGCUCAAUUUCAUUGUAAUAAACAUGGUCCCAAGUCCGACAUAAGAAUGCCCAGUGCUAGUGCAAGCUUCACAUGCAACUCUCUCUCUACUAUAUAGAGGUCCGAAAAUUCAUUAUACAUGACAUAGCGAUAUUAAGCAUUCUAAAAUUCACAAUAAAUACAUUUAACAUGAAUAUGCAUGAAUUUUCACUUUACGAAACAUAAAAUACCAAAUAUGAAAAUUUCUCAUAUUGUAGGCUAGGUCAAACCCACCGAAACUUGCGCAACCCUUCGUUUGCCCCAACGAGAGUGUCCACUAGCCUCCUAGCACCCUAGAGGUAUAGAAACAAAGGUUAAACGAACCUUACGAACAAUUAUAGGAUCAAACAUUAACCAUCUAUACAAAUGGGCUAAAAUCUCACCUAUAGUGGAGAAAUCCCUUUCCAAAGCUCAAAAGGAAGCUAAAUUCCUUCCAAAGCAAUCUAAACCAAGGUUCUAAAUCCAUCAAGAGAGUUCUAAAAGGAUCUAAUCUAAAAACCCCAAAAUAAAUCAUAAAUCCCAAUUCUAGGGUUUCAUAAGGUAGAAACUACCAAAACUUGAUCCAAAAGAGAGAUCAAGGGUACUAACCUCACAAGAUGCCCCAAACCAAGCUCCAAGUCCUCUAGGGUUGGAGUUCCUUCCUCUAUCAAGCUCCAACUAGAGCUUCAAAGCUUCACCCAUGGUGAACAUCCAACAAGGAGCAAGAAAGAGAGGAAGAGAUGGAUCAAAACUAGUUCAAAUCCAUCAAAAAUGGGAAAGAAACCAAAGGAAGGAGAUCUCACCUUGUCUCCACUGGUCUAGGGCUCAAAAGAGCUCUCUAAGGGGCUGGGGUGAGCUAUAUAGGGUUUGCAAUAAUUGCAAUUAACCCCAUGCCCGAAAACUAGCUCACAUUGCAUUGUGUACCGUUACACGGGCCCGUGUACCGGUACAACACCUGCGAAACAGCCAAACCCAAGCCUCGGGUUGGCGUGCAGGCUGCCAAUGUUGAUGGUUGUACCGGUACAGCCAUCAAUCUGUACCGGUACACAGCCCUGCUGAAGGCUACCCGAGAGCUGACCAAAAAUCCAUUCUUUUGGAUUUUGGUGCCAAGUUUUAAACCUCAAUUCUCGGGGUACGAGCCAUAGGUCGGAACACUGUCUACGACCUAUCAGAAAAUCUGGAAAACCUCAGAACACAAACCAAACACUCGAACCUCGCAAUUUACAAAGGUCCAGUGCGUUACAAGUGAACCUAGAGUUAAAGUAACCUCAGUCAUGUGAUAAAGAUGUUAAACCUAGAGUCAAGUGGACCUAAGAUGGAAAAGACAUUGGACAUAGAUAGGUCAAUACUAUAGGGUUAAAACCAACCCUUGAGUUAUGUGAAAUGGAUUCUGGAAUCCCAGAGCUUUUGGAACACCCAAAGUGGUGUUGGGCGUGUACGACGAUUUCGCCGCCCGGGGCCAACCAUUGACGUGGCGUGUGCGACGAUUUCGCCGUCGGAUGGUUAUGCCGGUUUGUAGAUUAUACCGCCGCUUGACUUGAGCCAUUAUCGUGGUGUAUGUGCGACGAUUUCGCCGCCGGGUGGCUCAGUCAUAGAGUGUGGCUGGUUGUGGUAGGCUGAGGUGCAUGCGAGAGUUCCUUCAUCUCGAGCCGACAGAGCGCGGAUUAUCCACAGUUGAUUGACUCAAGACCGAGUUGAGUGGCAUAGAUGGCUAAGGUAAAGGUAACCUUAGGAAAGAAUCACCAAUGAACAUAGUGUGACAAGAAAAUAAAGUAAAGAACGGCUAACGAAUAAGAAUAGCUAAGAAUAAAGAAUAGAGAACAAAGAAUGUCUAAGAAUAAGAGUAGAAUUAAAUUAAUCUACUUAGUUGGUUGCAUAGAUUUCAUAUUGCAUAUUGUGAGGCAUGACAUGUAAUUCAAUAUCGAGUAAAUGUAUAAAUAUUUGUUUUAUGUUAUUGGACUAACCUGUUGCAGUGCCUCAUUAGACCUAUUGGUUGAGCUUUUUUCUUGGGUGGCCGUACCCACUGGGAACUAUGGAGUUGGUUCUCAGCCUACGUUGUUUUGGGGUUUUACAGGUACGCUCGUGAGCGGCGCAGCAGCGCGAGGAAAUGGCGUAGCUCCGUAGAUAGCGCCCUACCCAAAGACCAGAGAUAGCAAUACCCCGAGUCGGCAUAGCCUGGGGGUAGAGGGAAAUGAAAAGAACAAGAUGAAUGGAUUAAACUUGUAAUAAAUUAUUGUAACUCGGAUUGUAUUCGGAAGUUGGAAAAUGUAAUAGUAAUUGGGAUGUAAAAUGUACGAAAGAUGAAUGUUGUAAUAAUUUAGUUGUUUUAUAUUUUUGAUACUUCCUUAUACAAUUUUUGAUUGAAAUGUGUUCCUAGUUGGAACCUCGUACAUUAUAUUGAUUGCGACGCCUAGGACGUACAGGAAAAACUCUGUCCGUUCGGCGGUCUGUCGGCGUGCCCGAACCCGACCAAAUAGGCGGAGCACGGGGCGUGACAUAAGAAAUAUCUAUUUUAAUUUUCAAAUGCCUUUUAAUUAGUCUUACUUUUAGUGCUUCUGAUAAUUACGUAUUGGUUUCUUCACUAACCUGAAAUUUAGGAAUUAAGUACUUUAUUAAUUAUAUCUAUAGCGAUAAAAGCUAACGAGGACUUUUCUUUAUCGUCAGCGACGAUGAUGAGAACGCUACCGUCAAAACUACUAAAGAUAAUACUUUCAAUCCGAUUAUUUUUUUAUUUACAAAUUCUAUACUGAUGAUAAUAGAAAAAUAUUACUCAUGUUUUUAAAAUAU